UUUUUUUUUUUUUUUUUUGCCUGGAAUUCGUAUGUUUUGACGCCAUCAUCGCCGACCUUCAGUCCCAGCUUCAGUCCCUCGAUGCCUCCCUUUCCAACGCUUCCGACAAACUCACCCUUGCUGACCAAGAAAAGAUCCGAUUCUUAUAACCAACCCGACCAAGUGAGCACUAAUAAAAAAAAAAGGAAAGCCUGCCAGUCUAUAUUUUUACAAUGAAAGAGAAAUCCAUGACCCGUAUCAGUUUUCCUAUGCCUCGCUCUCCCUUUUUUUCUUUUUUUGUCAAUUUAAUCUAUAUCUCAAGAAAGACAUGGAAAAUUAAGUUCAUGCUUCUGAAUAUCAUUGAUAAGCUCUCUGUGUUCGUAGAAAAUUCAGCCCAACUCUUUGUGCCCGUUUGUCUAACCUCCUUUCCUUGCUUAAGCAGGUCACUCAUCAUGAAUAUGAAGUCGAAACAGCAAAUGGAAGAACAAUUACAAAAAAAGGAAAACCAAAAGUACUGUAAUGUUUGCGGUAUGUAAUUUUGAUUUCUGAUCAGUAUGCAUUGUCGUAGGGGAACGAUUCUUUAUGUGUAUAUUUCUUGGUUAUGUGUAAUUGUCUCUAUUACUACAGGACCCAGGCAGACAUAAAAAACUAGAGACACCAAAAGCUGUUACACCUAGAGCUGUUACUAAGGUAAUUAAACAAUGAACUAGGAUAAAUUUUCCUUCUCAGUGUCAUCAUGCUGGUUGUUUUAGCUUUUGAUCUUUUGUGGAGUGUCAGUCAUGUCUCACCCAACAAGAAGUAGGAUUUUUGCCUAUUUUUGAUGAAUGGGGUGUACUAGACAGGCAAUAAUCGUGGUCACAAAAUUCUCUUACCUUGAAAUGGUGUUACUCUUAUUCAUAUCAUUUAGGAUUAAGUUGUGAUUACUAAUAGAUUAAUGCAAUGAAACAGAGCAAUUGGUUAACCUGAGCAAGGUAAAGUAGAAACAAGGAGAAUUAACUGUAUGUGAUGAAGUUUGUCUCUGUACACUGCAAGAUGCCUUGUGAUUACGGUCACAUAUAAUUUUAUGUUAUGUGUGCUGACAUUUGUGAUUGAAAUUUCAUGAUAGGGAACAAAGGGACAAGUUCAUACAAAUUCAUCUAAUAUAGGUGAUCUGUUUUCAGAAGGAUCUCUGAAUCCUUAUGCAGAUGAUCCCUAUGCAUUUGAUUAGAGGUAUCCCCGUUUCAUGUUAGUUCUAUUUGAAUUGCAGUACUUUAAUUAAUGUGCAGUUGACCUUUCCUGUAUUGGGUUAAUAGUUCAUGUACUCGGGUGCAAGAUUUACUCCAUAAACUAGACAAUUAUUUUUAUUUUUUUUGCUACUGGAAAUGGAAUGGGACAGCUUUUGAUUGUUAAACAUUUUCCUUUUUAUUAAGUAUGAAGUGUUUGGGUCGACUGUGAAGAAGCCAGUGCAAAAAAAAAAAAAGGAUUUGUCUACAAAAAAGGUUGCUUCUACCCACUGAUUAUUCUAUAAGAUUUAUUGCAUGCAUUGUUUUCUAUGUCCUGAGCUACAUUAGACGAGGAAACUUUUUUAAACGUUUAGCUUGUUCAAUAUUGAUCAGGUAUAAUGCUAUGAGAUCAUUUUGGUAAAUCUGCAGUCUGGCAUGAAUACUAAAUGUUCAGUUGUUCUUGAUACUGCUAAGGAGCUGUUUCUCUUAGUUAAGUUGUUUGUAGUAUCAAAUCACUGCUGCAUCUGGAUUUUGGCAGGAACUGUAUCAUGCAAUAGAAGGCUUUGCAAAUGGAGGAUGAAACUUUUUAAUUCUAGACAUUUUAGCACACAAAAAAUGUACAUUGCAACUGUAAUAAUGUUCCUUCAUUGAUAAACAAGAAUUAAAUGUUUGCAUGUGUCUGAAAUGCGAAAUUGCCUGUUUUCGUGGCUCCAAAACUCUUAUCUGGAAGUUUGAUUGCUAUAAUAACACAGAGCUCUUGUUAAAGAUGUAUGGCCAAUAUUGCAUUCCCCUCUGCAUCUUGAUUUUUUGUGAAAAGAAAUUAUGUUGAUUUUUCAUGUCACUUUUGUUUGUGCCUCCAAUCUUUUACCCCAACGGUAUCGUGCCACGUGAGAAAACUAAAAUCAAUUGAGGGUGUCUUGUCAACAUAUAAGACUAUUUGUAUACCUUGGUUGAGGUCAGGGAAUGUAUGAUUUCCCUAGGUGCAUCGUGGAUUUGUUAUUAGUUAUUAGUUUUUAAAAACUCUAUGUAUUCCUUGGUUUCCUUUUUUUUGGUGGUUAAUGUUAUUUUUGUUAUAGAGCAUGGAUCUGGCUCACUUUUCAUGAUGAUACUGGGUGUGUAAAUGUUAUUGCAUUAGGUGUCGAAGCUGAGAAGCUGAUUGGUGUUAGCGCGCUUGACAUGUUUGAGGCUGCUGACGAUGAGGUUAUGUGUUGCUCUAUUCUCAUGCAUAGAUACCUGAACUUGGAGAUUGUUCAACUAUGUAGCCAGGUCAUUUGGAUUUGUCAUUAAUGAACUUUCUUUUAUGCAAUUUAAAUGGUCUGAUUUGUGUACAUGGAUUCUUGAAUUGCCACUUUAUUUCGAUUCAACCUUUUUGCAGACCUUUAAGUUGUACCAUCGUGUGGCUUGUCGAAUUGAACUGACCAGGCUCCUAUGCUAUUUCAAGCGUUCAUCCGAUGUGAUCAACAAAGUGACAUGCACUAAAUACGCUGUUGUUGCUUGCUACCCAGUUUAGAGAGGUUGUUUUUGGAUGCUUAUUUCUUGUGCUAUCUUGUCAGCUCGUGAACUUCUUUGAGCUUGUAGUGGCGUCGGUAUUAGUUUUGAGGCUUAUAUGCUAUUGAUACUAAUAGCAUUUAGUGGUUCUGUUCUUUUUAAAAAAUUUUCUUUGGGAUGCUUUGUUAUGCUGCCAGCUCAGAGCCUUUCUUCUUGGGCUGAGUUCUUAGGCAGCAGUAGUAUUUGGAAUAGUGAUAUGUAGACUAUAGACCACAUGUUUGUUACUUAGACGAUUCAUUCACUGGACAAUUACUAAACUUUGUUUUGUUUCUGCGUUUCUAAAGCCUAGAUCUUUGUAUAGAUAGUUCUUUAGCCUUUGGAGUUUUAAGCAACAAACAUUCCUUCUGUCCUAGCUGUUACUUUUGUUAUUCCAACUUAUUACAUCUAAUAAAGUCAAUGUCCUUUUUAUUUUCUAAAUUAUAUACCUGCUACAUAUGUUUUAUGGGCAUCCAUAAUAAAUUAUCACCGCGCAGGGCGCGGUUCAUGCCUCCUAGUCUCUAUAAUGCGGCUCCGUUUGGAUUGCAUUUUUCAUGGAAAAAAUUACGAUAGCGAUUUGAUAUAUAUGAAGAAUAAAAGUAAUAAAAAAAUAUGAUCACAGAAAAUGACGUAAUUUUUCAACAGAAAAUGACAAUCCAAACGAGGUCCGUUUGUUUGGAUUGCUAUUAUCUACCGAAAACAGUGCUAAUUCUUAUGUGGGUGACAUGGGUAUUAAAUUCUUCUUUGUUUUUAAAUUGUUUUCCCUUUCAUUAAGCCAAAAAAAGGAAUUACAAAGAAGAAGAAGAAGUAACUACUACUGAUUAAGGCAUGAUAGGAAGAUGAUUAUUACGAAUUUAAAACAAUUUUUUUUAAAAAAAAAAAAAAAAAAAAAGAGGUGCCAUGAAAUAAUCCGAUGUGUUUUGAAGUAAUUUGGGCCUAAAUUGUGGCCCAAACAUUGAAGCCAGAUUGUACAUAGGUUCUGAUUAAGUGGGCCAAAAUUCUUGGCCCAACAAUAUUCCACGAUGCUGAUGCUUUAAAUCUUGUCAAUCUUUCUAAUCAGGUAAGAUGGAAUGAGCUAAUUCUAUGCAUGAGACACAGCCAGUUAUUCUGCUACCUGUGAUUCUGAAAAAAAAUGCCAGUAACAGUUAGUUACAAAAAACCAUAAACUCAGUUCCUAAUGUUGCACCACCAUUUCAGCAAUUUCCAUGUUACAAUCUUAAAAUUAAUAAAAGAAAAUACUAGAAAAAUUGCUCCAUACCCCUGUCACAACAUUUCUAAGCUUUACAAGGCUGCUGGAAAUGACCAAAACAGAAAAAUACCAGGUUUUCCCCUUCAUAUAGGAAAAGAGAAACCCCUUCAGAAAAAUUCUGCUGGCUUAUCAUCGGUAGCUUCCUCGCUAACACCAUUGAGUACUUCCAAAUCAUCAAAACCUGUGGUAGGUUUGUCACAACGUUAACAAUGCACAAAAGAAGAACCUCUUUCACCAGAAAUUUUUGUAAAGGAUAUUCAUCAUUACCUACACCUAAGGCUUCAAAAUCAUCAGCACGCGAUCCCAAGAGCAUUAUGUUGCCCAUAGGUGGGGAAAUGGUGCUCCAAUCGGAUAUGUUUUGGUCGUCUGAAUAAGCCUCCUCCUUCAUAAGCCAAUCCUCAGCCACUCUAGAGUUAGCAUGCAAAAGGGGGUCCACUGGCUCCUGCUCUUUAAUCUUCUGAGCCCUAUAAGAAUACAUUUAGAGAGCAAGAUUUAUCUGGCCUCCAUCCACAUCUAAACUACAAAACUUUUUGACACUGAUACUUAAAAUCUGAUUACCUUUCCUUCAGCCACCAAUUGUACUGAACCAAGACAAGAUCAUUGAGCCUCUGAUACUCCAAGCAAUUUUUCGUUUCGUGCAUCUGUUCAAGAGGUAUGUGACUUGGCUUAGAGCCUAUCAAGCUGCAAGUUUGACCAAGGAUCCUGAUAGCAAAGCGAGCUAAAUUUGGGCAUGCCCCGCCAUAUGUUGACCACCACUCAGCUAUGGAGAGAGAGAGAGAGAGAGAGAGAGAGAGAGCAAACAGAAUGAGGCUUCUUUCACAAAUCCAAUAGCAGGGUACUGAACAAGAUAACUAAUAAUAUUCUGAAGUAUAGAAAAUGGAUAUUAUGCUGCUAUUCUUGAGCUCAUUUUCUGUGUAUAGGAUAGGUGCCAUCUUCUCAAAAUCUCUUAAUUAUCCAUCUUUAUGGAAAACUGUUUCAGCAUCUUAUUUGUCAAAGCAAGAGUGUUGCAUCGAAAUUUUGAGAUUAUGGCACAAGGCGAAAUGAUAGAACCCAUACCAAAAAAACAUGGAAAAACAUAUAACAGAAAACAAAACCAAUGUAUUCUUUAGUAAAAUCUAACCUGGAAGUAAUGUAUCUCUAGCUCUUAUUGCCAUCUUCCUGCCAAAAUCUCCAUCACCAUUCUGAUACGAGAUUGUCUCUUUCACAAUUUUGUCCUGAGUAUUAGGGUCAGGCACCAAUUUCUCCACACAAUCAUAUACAUGGGAUCUGAUAUGAUGCAUAUCUCCUCCAGUACUAUAGAAGAACUUUGGAUUAAGAUAGAAACCAGCAGCAAAAAGUGGGUGAUGCUGAAGUUUUUCCCACCUUCGGUGUAUAAUGUUCCAGUAGUCAUGGUAAUCCUUCUGGUUAACAAGUUCUUUCUUGAUUGUUUCUUUGGCUCUAUAAAUUCCUGCAUAAACGUAACCCAUUCCGGGCCUCUUCUCACUACUAACUAUCCUCAAAAGUCGCAAGAAUGGAUCAGCUAAACGGGAAAUCAAGGCACAAGUAGACCAAAAUGAUUCGCUACUGAAACAAUCUAGGACAGCCAAUCCCUCAGGUUCCCUUGAGUAAGGGCUCUCUGCCCAUUCCUCUGAACUAACCAUGUUUUGCAAAUUCUGCUUGAGACUCACUAAUCGGUUCAAUGUCAUGAAAUCUGUUGCUGAUUUCGAAACUCCUAUGUCAACUAAGUCAACACCAAAAGUGUGCCGUCUCAUCAUAUUCAAAAUAACAUUGUGAUUGUAGAUAAAUCUUGUUAUUGAUUUGGCUUGUUCAAGGAUUGCACUGAUCAAGUCAAGCUUUGUAAAAUCCUUAAGCAUCAAACUUAGGCAAUGACCAGCACAAGGAGUCCAGAAAAUGGAAGGGUAAGCAUCAAUCAAUCUCUUCCCACAAACAAAAUAUGGCUCUUCACCACGAGUAACAACUUGCAAUACAUUUCUCACACCGACUUCUUCUAUCACCUUAGCAAGCAAUUCGUAGAGAGCAUCUACAGGAUUUCUAAUUUCAGAAAUAUCCAGAGACUUCAAAAACAAAUUUCCUUCUGGACAAUCAACUAAAACUUUUACCAACGUUCUGCCAUUCUGUGUGACCCAAUCAUCAACCAAAAUGGAACAACCACUCCUAGCCCAACAACCUGUGAAUCUGCCAAAGUCACUUUUAACCUCUUUGACCGAAUUUUUCAAAAUCCAGCUACGAAGAUCAUUGCAAGAAGGGGUUACAACCUGUGAUCCUUGCGAAGCUAUGGCCUCAAUCAUCCUUCUAAAAUAAACCGAAUUUGUAGCAUCAAAAGAUAUCCCUGCAUACAACAGAAAGUGGCCAAUUGCCAUUUGAACCUGAUUAUCCACCACUUUUGAGCCAACAGCUUUAUUACCAUCUGCAGUCAAUGUAUGAGACUUAUGAGGAUUUAUCAGAACAGAGGCCUUUCCCAUUUGGCCUUUCUCUAUCCUACCACCUGAUCCGUUGCCCUCAUGUUCUUGGUUCAGAAACACAUCAGAAUUCUCUUCAAGUGCAUCAGUUUCAGGAAGCAAAUCAAUUUCAUUAUUUAAAUCACGCCCAUUAGCAAGGGUUUGGACAGCACCAUUACCAGCAUUAUGAUUGGGCAUCUCAAUGAAAUGCUUUUGUUUCUUCUUUUUCUUCCCCACUGACCCACUUACAUUUAAGCUCUCUUGCAUAAGAAGGCGAACAUCAGAUUGUACUUCUGAGCAAACAGAUCCAUUGCCCGUACGACCAGCAAGAUGUUCCUUAAGUCUAUAAAUCCCACCACCAUUAAAUAUUUUUCCACAAUAUACACACUUGAGCAGAACCUUCCCCCCGUUAUUAAACAUUUGACAAUGCUUCCAAGCUGGAUCCCGCUUUAGAGAACCAAUGGCUACAGGUUCCAUAUUAGCUGAAUUCUCUUGCAGGUUUCUUCUCCUCCGUCUAGUCAUUCCCCCUACACUCUGUUCACCAUUAAAUUCAUUACUUGCUCCUUCAAUAUUCAGACGCUUAUCGGAGUUUGUUUCAAUGGUCUCUGUUAGCCGAAGCAAGUCAUCAACUGUAUUCAAAUCAUAAUUAUUUCGAAAACCCUCAUCCUCGAUGGUAAUGUCAUUUUGAAUCAACAACUCAUCCUCGGCAUCAACAAACCUUUGUUUCUUCUUCCUUUUCCCCACAACCCCACUCAAAUUCUCUUGCAUUGCACGGCGAACAUCAGGGUCAACUCUCAUACAAGGAGAGCCCCCAUCCCCCUUAGCACCUGCAAGAUGCUCCUUAACCCUGUGAAUCCCACCACCCUUAAAGAUUUUCCCACAGAACACACACUUGAGCUCAACCUUCUCACCAUUCUUAUACAUUUCACAGUAAUUCCAUGCAGGAUCACGUUUUUGCUUUGUCCUACGUUCUGAACUGUUAUUCACCUCCAUUCUUGAUUAUUCAAGUAUGCUUCCUCAAGAUUGCACUAUCUAGGCAGUGACAAAAUCCAUCACAGAAAUCAUAAAAAUCAAAACUUUCCUACUUUCAAUAAUCAACUUCAUACAUAAUCAACAAUCCCAGUAAGCAUGAUUGAAUGUUCAGAUAUGUCCCUCAAAGUUUAGCUAUCUGGGCUGUGACAAAAACAAUGAAAAAAGGUACCCAAACAAAAAAGGAUCAAUACCUUUUUAGCCUCAAUAAACAAUUAUAAAAAAUCACCAAUAAUCACAGUAACCAUGCAGGGGGAAAAAAAGUCAAUGCCUUUAUACAAUUGGGGUUGUUUUCCUACUCAAAAUUCAGUAAUCAGUCAAUUUUUACUGUGGAGCAUAACAUGCAGAUUAAAAAAUGACAUGAACAUCAAAAGCUGAAAAUUUGAAAAGCUUCUCAAUAACUUACAUGGAAUUGAUCUGAAACCGUUUCGGUUGAUUUCUCCUUUGCAAGAAGGGGUUUGGCGGAAUUGGUAGAAAUUUUCUCAAACCAUAAGAAACGAUGAUUUUGAAGAAUUGACCUGGUCUGGUUGGACCGGCGUGGUUAAAUACGAAACCUCCCGACUUGUGUUGGGUUGGCCGAGGUUUAUUGUUUGGACUUUUUCGAGUAUUCUUUUGGGUUAAAGCGGGUAGAACCAGAACUUUUGCAAAUUUAAGCUAACCGAAAACUUGGGGUACAUCAGCCCAACCCAAAACUGAGUAUCGGGUAGACAACACAAUUCAAUGGUUUUACUUUUGGGAGUUCAAUUGACUGACGUCAGCUUAAACUCUUUUUCUUUUUUAAUGUCAAUGCUCGGUAGUCAAUUGAAAAGUUUUUAAAUUCCAUACCCAUUAUUAUCUUUCAAAUUUUCAAUUUUUUUUUAAUUUCACCUGUUAAUUUAGAAAAGGGUGAUUUUCACUCAUGCAAGAGAUGUGGAUCUCGUGAUCCAAUCAUUUUGCACAAUUCUAUGGCAUAUUAACCACUCGACAAAAUUAAAUAUUUUUUUGACAGAAUUGGCCAAUUAAAUGUGAUGAAACUAUCAAAUUUUGAGGAAGAUAUAGUUUUAAACCUAUAUUCGGCAAAAAAAAAAAAAUUUGUUUGUUUGUUCUCAAGAUUUUACUUCGAUUAGUUUCUCAAUAUAUGAUUGAAUAUUUUACUGUUAGUCUGAAUUAACUAUUAUAUUAUAUAAAAACAUCAAAUAUUUCGCCACUACACUUUCUUCUUUUCUUGUUAUAAAAAAAAAUCAAAAUCAACAUCAUGGGUUCAAGAGAAGAGUAUUCUCUCCAACUUAAUUUGAUCUCUCUGCAUGAUUAUAACGGAUUAUUGCACGGGACGGAAUUUAUUCAGCCCGUAUUUUUGGGCUGCGGCUGAUGGUUCCUUGUCAACCAAAACAAAAAACUUAAUUUGGCCUCCAAUGUAGAGUAACAAGCACUGCAAAUCAACUUGGUGCAGUGGAUGCAGUCUCCAUGAACUAACUCCUUGUUGGAUUCAAGAAAAGUGAUGAAUUAACUGAUUCUCGGGCCACUCCAUCAUGUAACAGCCCUGAUGCCCAUCCUAGGCUGCCAUUCAGCAGUUCGCCGCAAGAAGUUGUCACUAACAGUGGGUUUAAAAAAAGUUGCUGAAGCAGUCCUGAGAAACAGGCAGAACUAGCCUUGUUCUGCCAUUUGCUGCAAAUGGGAAGGUUGUUUUUUGGCCUGAAGGGAAGUUCCGAAGCCUCGUGAUGCAUCUCCAUACAUGAGCUGAUAAUGCUUGCAAAGAAGAAACGUUAUUGCUUUUGCAUCCAGCAUUUUGAUCUUGGUUUCAGUUUUGCUACCGACUCUGAUGAGAAAGAGAGAUGGAAAAUUCUCUCUAAGAACAAUUUGCGGUGAUGCUUUUUUUUUUUUCUUCCUCUCUACUUCCUGUGAAGCUUGAGAUAUUCAGAACAACAUAGCUCCAAAUUUUUGAAGGGAAUUGCAUAUUGUUUGAUAGUAAAAUAUCAGUUAGAUAAAUGCUUGAGAACAACUUGGGAAGAUAAAGCCAAAAUUUGGUGUCUACAACGGUGAAGUUAGUAUAUGUUAAAUCGGUAGUUUCUAAUUAAUGCUUACCGGCCAUGUUAUCAUAUAGGUAGAUUCAUUUUGCAUCUUGUAAUCAAUUUUAAGCAUUCUUGAAAUCUAAAAAUUAAUUAAUCAUUCUUCCAAGAAAUAAUUCUUUUUCCUAUUUUCUUCUAUUUCUUGAUCCACAACAGGUAAUUGUUUUAUAAUUAAGUAACAUGUUUAACUUAUUCUAAUCUAUAACUUAUUGGAUUUAUCUAGACAAAUGUAUAGAUGAACUAUUAUUAAGAGUUAAGACUAAGUAGAUGGAGAUGUUCUUUAGUGGUUAACCUCAUCCUCCACUAGCGUCGGUCAAUUGAUAUUCUAGGCAAAGGCCAACAUCGACUAAAAUUUUGUCAAAAGGGCUUCAUCAUUAAACAAUGGCAAAAUUUGCAGCCCUGUCAAUAUAUACAUACCCGUUGCUUCUUGGACGAUAAGUUCAUCUAUUACAUAAUCCUAACUGUUCACACUUUGCAUUCAAUCAGCUGCUUUUAUGUCUUCUAAUCUGCAAAAUAUUCCAAGAAUGUGCAGCACCGAUUCUUUUCUCACCACAAAAGAUGCAGCUUUUGAGACAGCAAGAGUAAAGAACUUAGCAGCCGUCUGAACUCUGGAGCUGCCUCUGGCUGAGUUCAUCACAAAACCAAGGAGCAGUUCUCUUUGAUAAGAAUAAAUUCGAUCAACAAGAAACUUGUACUCUACAUCACUCCUGUCGAAAGAGUGGCUUCCCGAGUGCUACAAUUCUAAGCAAUCGAAGCAAAUGGGAAAAACUGAAGUAGUUGUAAUUAAGAAGCAUGUUUAAUUGCCUAUAAGGAGGGAACGUAACCUUUUUUGGCUCGUCACAUUGAUCAGCUGUAGUUACUGAAGAUGCUAAGAAGGGAAGGAGCAAGGUAAAAUGAUGAUGAAGAACAUGGAAGGGAGGAGUUGAAGAAAGGCUUCUAUUGCUUUGAGAAUAAGAAGAGAGUGGAAGAUUUUUCAAGCAACAGAUAUCACAGCAGGAGGUACUUUGACAUAGUGGCAGCCCCUACAAGACCAAACAAGCAAAGCAAGGAUAUAAUGUUGGCCAUUGCACUAGAUGUGUCCGCUGACAGAAAAAUUUUGUGAGAAUCGCAGUCUCCUCGAAAGCCUCUGACAAUCAUAGCCUGUAAAGUCCCAAAAUUAAACUAGCCUUUAUUAGAUAUCAUACUGUAAAUUGUGACUUGCAUUCAGAUCUGAUGAUGAAGCUGAAACUCAAAUCAAGUUUACCCUCAAAACAGUUAAAUUAGUUUUGCAAGUUGUUAACUAAUUUUUAACUAUCAACAAUUCGCAAUAACCCCAUAGGUUUUCUUUUGCCUGAUUGACUAUUCUACAUAAUAGAUUGUCCGCAGCGACAGUUUUGGACUACAGAGCAUGGAAGGGACAUUUCAGUUUGGGAGUCACUUUUUUCUUUUUCCUUUUCUUUUGGGUUGCUUUUCCCCCAUUGCAAAGAACAUCUCUGAGUAGGGUGGUCUCAAGAACACUGCAACAGUUCGACAUGUUCUUUUUACAGGGCACAGGAGCAAGGAGAGGUAACAAGCAGCCAUGGCAAGGUGCAUUUUGGUAUUCAAAGGUGAUAAACUAUAAAUCAGCUUGAGAGGAAAAGUUCUGGCAAAUAUUCCAAACCUGAGAUAUCUGCUCUGAGUGCCUGAAAAUGUUUUUGAAGAUCCGUCUGAUGUAUGUAAAGAAAACUGCAAAUUAACACCACAUAUCUCAAUACACAUGACAAAACUAAUGUAGUACUAUGACAUUGUAGAAUUGCUUAGGCAUCUAAUGAAGUUUAUGGUAAGGGCCAUUACGAGUAUAGCCACAUCAUUCCAUGGAAACGCACAAGCCAGGUGCAUUAGUAGUGUAUCAUGAAUAGAACCUUUUACAUCUCGGAAAAUGUUGAAAUGUCUACAUGCUAAAUACUUGUACCUUUUUACUUACCAUCAACUGUCUCCAUAGUGGUCAAAAGCUGCCAAUUGAUUCUGCGUGAUACAAUCCCCAGGGCAACAUUACGAACCUAUUGACAUUACAAGGUGAGAACAUUCUUGAAAAAACAUCAUGGGUAGCCUAUCCUAUUAAACCGAAACUCUCUCUCUAAAAAUCAAAGAAAAUGAUACAAGUGACAUGAUAAACCUAUCUCACCUCAUCGAAUACCAAACUGAUGAACCUCAAAGACAGUAAGAGAGUAAGGAUGACUUCUGCCACAGGCAAACCUAGAUGCUUCAGAGGAUGGAUGAACCACUGCAGGGCAAAUGCAAGCUGCUCGGGAGUCGUACUCGUGAGGCAGAGGCUUGCACUUUGGAAGAUCUUUUGUAAGAACAGAGGCCAAGAUCUCAGAAAAACAGAGCUAUUCAAGCUAACAAAGUUCAUUAAAGUAUCUUUAAGGACCUGAAGAAUGCCUUGGCAAUAAAGAAGAUUUUCCACAACUAGGAUAGAACAUUUAAGUCACUUAUUUACUAUUGUCUACAGGGUCUAAACCACCCAAAGGUUUUAUUUACCCUAAACAAAUUGUCCCAACAUUUGCUUUGUCUGUGAAUCACGGUUAUCUGUGAUUACUUAUCAGAGUAGAAAACAAGAAAUCACUUCAAUAUUUAAAAGUAAAAGUGGCUUGAUUAGAUAUUUCUUGGUCCUAUGGAAGAGUAACAUGAUUAUAUUCUAACUGAAAGUUAAACAUUAGAUCCCACAUUUACUUGCCAUAUUUUGUGUGAACUUGUAUUUUAACGUCUGUGCUUGUCUAAUGCAUAUCCCAAUUCUAGAGUCCUAAAAAAUGUGCCAAACUUUCAUGUGACAGACCUCAGAAAAGCAUACCAUCUGUGGCCUAAGACUUCUGGAUAGACAGGAAGGGUGGUACAAAUUUUCAUCUUUUUUUUUUCCCUAGCAAGGGAGGGGUGGGAUUUAAGAAGCGGGGAGGGGGCAGGGGGCUUGAGUUCAACCUUAGCCACUAGAUCAAGGCCACCUCAGCGGUAGAAAAUUUCAUCAUGCACCGAAUAAUCAUUUUAAAGUGUUCAUUUUUUUUCACAAAAUUUGGCAAUUUGCUCAAGCAGAAAAGACUCACAACAGCAUGCACAUAAGAAGAUGUAAGCAUUCGUCCAUAAGUCCAUAACAGGCACAUUAAGCAUACGCACAUCAGAUAGCUGAAAAAAACACUCACAACAAAGGUCAAACAUGCUGAUGUACUAGCUGUUGAUAAGCCCUUCCUUGUCAAUUGUAAGGGUCCAAACUUCAUAACAACGUAUGAAUAGCCAUCCAAAGAUGUCGGAAGAUUCGGCAACCCCAAAACUGAGGGUGGUGGAGUUCUUGAAAAGACAAGGGAUGGUGCACUAUCUGUACCCAGUCCUAGCAUUAUAAAUAAGAUCCCAGAGAGCAGGGUCACCCGUCCCAACUGGUCCUGUAACAAUAUGAAUAAGGCACUGUCCUGCAUCAGCACUCCCAUAUUUUCCACAGGAGAACAGAGUACACAUACACUAUCUGAAUCAGAAGAAAAACAUGGAAGUACAAAGAAGGUUUUCCUAAAUGCCAUGCCCAGAAAGACGUGAAGAAAUAUCUAAACAAUCCUUUUCUACUUGUUUGGCAAAGAAAACAACCAAUUGUUCUAUUGGAGACAUAAACUUUCCUUAUAUCGGUAAAUCAAAUGGAGAACAAGACCGCAAUCUUUGACAAAUUCAAAAAACAAACUUACCAUCCAAACCUGCUUAGGCUGCAUCAACAUCGAUAACGAAGCCAGGAAAAUCACUAAGCCAAAGCGCACAGAGAUGUGUGACCUUGCUGGUAAAACAACAAGUACAAGGAGCCAUACCUGCAUAUAAAGAAACUAGGAAAUCAUCAUAAAUGAAAUAAAGGAACGAGAAAAAGAAGUAAUAUGAUAGUCCCGAACAAAAAAUUGCUCCAUGGCAGGAAGUUUAAGGCAAUGCCCAGAAGGAAGUCAGGAUGAACUCCUUAGGCAAGCCUUUACUUAAAUUCCCUGUUCCUUUUUAUCAUCAAAGAUUACUAUAGAAACUAUUCCCAGUAUUAUCAAAGAUUACUAUAGAAACUAUUCCCAGUAUUAUCAAAGAUUACUAGAAUUGAGUUCUAUCAUCCCCACUUCUCUCUAUCCCUUUUUCUUGGUCUAUUAUUUUUAUUUUUAUUUUCAUUUUCCCCUUCAAAUACUAAUUUGAGUGUCUGGUAUUGUGGGGAAUAAGUUAAUUAUCCUUCUCUGCAGGAAACUAAUUGUCUCUGCCGGAAACCAGUUCUAAAGUCCUUAAAUAUCUUAUUUAAGCCAAGUAAAAGCAAUCCCAAACAAAAAGCACAUGCUGGGGAAAAAAAUGGCUAAGUUUCCAGUUAUGCUCCCAGUAAGCUUCCAUUAAUCAAACUUCAGAGAUUCAAUUACCCUUUUACGCAAACUCACAAGUUCAGAAAAACCCGAGUGAGAAAAAAGAAAAACAAAAGGAAGAAGAAGCCAAACUGAAAAUCAACAAAUUGAAUUACUUUUAACCGCUGUUUAGGAAAAAAAACUGAGCAAAAAAAUGGAAGGAAAAUUUGUACCAAUUUAAUUCUGGGAUCAACAGUGUGCAAGAAAGUUGUUGGUGAAGAUAUAUACUGGGCAAUGGGACUAGAAGUAGCCUCAGAAAUCCAUCUGAAUAUUUUAUCAGCAGCAAGAAAGUCUCUUGGAACCCAUUUUUCCCAGUUUCUGGAGCCCCCAACUCCUUCACUGUUUGCUGCACAUCUGAUAAGGGGCUUUCUUACCUUUUGGCAGUGAUGGUGCAAGAAAUAAAGUUGGGUUCUUGAGUUUGGAGUGAAUUGGUGUUUGAAGAUUGGUGUAGUUAAGGGCCUAACAAGGAGAAGGGGAGAAGGACAAGGAAGUUUCGAUGAGGGAUGAGUGUGGAGAACUUGGGCGUACAUGGGUCCAGUCUACAGAUUACUGAUACAAUCGGGCAGGUUGAGUUGGGAAGGGGUUCGCGAAGGGGAAGAGGGAGGAAAACAGUUUUAAAUCUUUUGCUCUUUUUUCGUCUUAUUUGUUUUCUUUUUCUUUACAAUUUGUUUCCUUGCUCUGUUUUUCCUGGGAUUACCUUGAGGUUAUUGUUGCCAAUGAGUAGUAGUGUAUCAGCUAUGAAUACCUCUGAAAUUCAGCAACCCUUUGAAAUCUAGUGUACUAUUUGGAGACAUCGUCUGUUUUUGUGAAAGAGGAGAGUAACCAAUCCAGAAUUGAUUUGGCAUGUUAAGUUGGGAUUUUUUAGAUUAGUUUCUUCCCUUUUCUAAAAAAUUUAAGGAGCUCUUCAACCGGAUUGGAAAAUUUAUUAUGGUGUAUUCUGAAGACAACAUGUUCAUUUUCCUUUCAAUUGCAAAUUUUUCAUGGAUCAUGGGUCAUCAUGGGCAUGCUUAGAAUUGGGAUUGUAACUCUUUUGAGGAAAGGCAAAUCAUGAAAUGCUUAUCAGCAUACAUAUUGUUUCUAGGAAUGCACAAUUCAGAUGAACUUCAGACCAGUUAUUUCGGCCCAAUAUUAACAUGUACUUCAUUACACCUGUUUUUCACAAAAUCAGGCACGCCAAAUCAACAGAAAGAGAAUUAUGGAUAAACAAGACAAAUUUGUAAAUCCUUCACUUGAUUUAUGUAAUUCUGAUUCGAAUUGAGAAGAUCAGACACGUCCUCUGAUAAUCCUCUCACGUGCAACAAGGUCUUCAACCCCAGCAUGGAUUGCCCCGGUGCAGAACAAUUGUGUCCCACUCAGAAUUAUCAAUAUGACCUCCAAGGUCCUCUGAAGUAGACACAGAAAAGCAUAUAUUGAUAGAUACAUUUACGCUCCAUUCAUAUUUUAGUUCAAUUUGCAACAAAAAUUUUUGAUGGCUUACCAAAUUUGAAUCUGUCCAGCCUUUGUGAAUCUCCUUGCAAGCCAACCUGCAGAAGACAUUUGGCAUUCACGAGGUAUCAAGUCCCAAUCUUAGAAGAAACUGAAAGAAUGUAGUUGAAAGUGCUGAAGGUUUGAUGAUUCUUUUACCCCAUGGCAAGCAGCGUGAGUAACCAAGUCAUCAGAGAGGAGGCAGCAGCUGCAUGUAAGUUAGGAAGGUUCCAUUGGAUCACACUCUGGAUCCCAGCAAUUGAGGUGAUAAAUCCCACAACACCAGCAAUGAGGGAGAAAAUGAUCAGGAAACCAGUUGCCAUGUUCCCAAAUGGAAAGUAUAUUGGAAAUAUCCGAGCUGGGAUUGUCAGAGCAGAUGCUGCAAAGCGGAAAAAGUGAUCACUCUAGCAUAAGUUGAAAUCUUGCUUAGCAGAUGCAGUUGAUAAUGUGGUAACUACCUGUUUCACGAGCUCUUUGAAUUCCAUGAUUUACUGCCCAUCCUGAAAUUGCUGCAACAAUGAAAUAAAGUAUGACAUUAAGAACUAAAAGGCCAAAUGCUGCUGAUUUGCCCGCCCCAGAAGCCAUGGCCUUUAAAGCUUCAAUCAAGAAAACCGAAAUUUUGUUUUCUAUUACACCCUUCUUGUGUUAAAAAAGAGCAACAUACGUAUAUAUAUGCCACAAUGGUUCUAUACUUGGCCCAAAUCAAUGAUCUAGUCAGAGCAUCAUCUGGCCUUUUCUCUUCAAUGAAUAUUUUGAAGUAUCUUGAAUUCAAAGAAAUUGUUGGAAUUUCUUGGCAUCAUUCCCACUUUACCUCAUAGAGGAGAGAAGAAUCUUUUUUGCUUUCCAGGUUGUAAAAGUAGUUCCUAAAUAUUCCAGAGGAAAAGCUUAAUUUCAUAUGUGAUUCAAACAUUCCAGGUAGCACUAUUCUAUACUCCUAAUCUAAAUACCGGCUCCACCAACUAUUGAUGCAAUUCAGCUUUGCACAUUUUAAUUUGAGUUAAAGUAGUAUUACCUAAUAGCUUGUGGGCUACUCAUCCCUCAAAUUAUUUCUAGUUGAUUAGGAAGCUGAGAUGCCUGCACAGUUCCUCUAACCGGUAAAAUGAGUUCAACAAAACCAGAGCAUAAUUUUUCUUUCCUCUGGACAUUAACUUACUGAACUCAAAACAGAUGAGGUCGUUUUCUGCUGCCAAAAGAUAACAGUUAAAUUAGCAAAUUCCAUCUCCUUGGUGAAAGCAAAUAGCUGAUGUUUGUCUUUGCAACUCCUUGCAGUUGAGGCUAUAAUAAAUGUAGAAGUGAGAAUUGGAUACAUGAAAAACUAAAACAGAAAAACCAAAGCACCAUCUCAUUAGAAAAAAAAAAAAAGCACAAUCGAAUGUCAAUCUACAAAACAGAUUCAUGAACCCUCUGAUCCCAAACAAAUUGGAAUCUCAAAGGAACCAAUUAAUUAAGAACGGCUGACAGCCAAUUUAGGUUCCUCAUUUACAUGGCAUCUCCCCAAAGUGGUUACAGAUAAAGAGAACGAGCUGCAGUCCUACGAGCUCGUGCAUUUCAGAAUAAGUUCACGUCUUUGUACUGCAGCUUCAGUUGUUUAAACCUUUAAUGCAAUCUUCUGUGCAGCAAGAGCUUCUGCCUCAAGUGUGGGCUCCCAAAGAAUAGUAGUUUCGGCAAGUAAUGAAGUAACAACGUACGGAUCCAUGUUAGAAGCGGGGCGCCUGUCUUCCAAAUAACCUACAAUAGAAGGUGAGGGACGUUUGAAGCCCAUCAGUGUAAGCAACAUAGUGCUAAAACCGCCACUCCAUCCCCGUUGUUGUCAUUCAAAAAUGGGCGUUUCAGAAGAAUCCUAAACUGCUUAAGCAAAUUUUUUGUUAGCAGUUCAUAAUCUUAGGUACAUAAUGAGCUCCCACUUAUGUUGCCUCUGAGGAUAGGAGGAAGAAUAUUAACCAGGUUCACAUAUUAGAAUUAUCUCAAUGACAAUGAUAGGAGAAUAAAAUUUAUCAGAUAAACCUUCACUGUUAUGCUCUUUGUGCUCUUAUUGGUGAAAUACCUUUGCCAUUCUUCUCAGUUUCACGCCCAACACGGAUUGAGCAACCACGAUUAGCAACUCCCUGCAUUUUGUCAUCAAGUAAACUAAGUAAGGGUAUGGUCAAGUGAUACAUUGCUUUGUGGCAUCCUUUUUAUGUGGAGUGCCUUGUCUUAAAUAGAAGAGCAUACCCAAGAAAAUGUGUUGAUAUCAGCAGUUUCGUGCUUUCCUGUCAACCUUCUUUCAUUUCCUUCUCCAUAAGCACUUAUGUGAUCCUUGUGUCGAAGAGAUAGACUCAGGAUUGCUUUCUUUAUUUUCUCGUACCCUCCAUCCUCCCUCAUACUCUUUGUACUGUAAACCCAAAAAGAGAAUAAAAUAAAUAAUGGGUAAUUGAAGUCCAUAUACUUUGAAUCUCUGCAUUCUUCUUGUAUUCAUUUCCUCAUCUCCUAACAUGCACUAACUUUACAUGAUUAUCCUGAAGUACCUGUAAUUGGUGUGGCAUCCUGCACCAUUCCAGUCACCCUGAGUAUUGAUGACAAAGGACACAAUUUUUCUGGUUGAUUAACAAAUUGGAAAGGAAAAAGAAUUGCAAGAUAUAUAGGAUUUCCUAUACCUCUAUUGGUUUUGGAUCAAGUGUAAGAACAACUCCUGCUUGUUCAGUAAUUCUCUGUUAGUCAAGUAACAAGAAAAAAAAAUCUCACAUAAGUAUGUAUGUAAAAUAAGUGAUCAAGUAAUAUGACGUGAAAGAAUGAAACGUUGCUAACUAGAUCAACCAGUUACAUCAUACCCUGUAAAAUGUGCUGUUAUAUGCUUUUAAGUUGACUUGAGAGAAUAAAUUGCCUUAUUCUGGAUACUAUCCUAUACACAGAAAGCUAGGUAGCUCCUCUUUGAAAAAGCUUUUGAUGCAAGGAUGCAAACUGUCUAACUGGAAAAGAAUAUUUACCUCAAGAAGGUACCUAGCACACCAGAUGUGAUCUCCAGCUUCAAUUCCCACGCUAGGACCUACUUGAAAUUCCCACUGCCAAGUUAAUCUUAAAUCAGUCAUUUGACCAGGCAAGGAGUUGCCGAACAGGAGAAUAUUCAUAAUUGAAUGUAAACAAGAAGUGUUUUAACAUACAUUCUUGCUCAUAUAUAAGAUAUCAAAAGUUGAAAAAAGAAUGGAGGGAGGAGAACCUGCCCAGGCAUAACUUCACCAUUCGUUCCACUAAUAUUUAUUCCAGCGUAUAAGCAGGCCUUGUAAUGAGCAUCAGAUAUGUCCCGUCCAAAUAUCUUAUCUGCUCCAGCACCACAGUAAUAAGGGCCCUAAAAAUGCCAAAAAAGUUUAAACAUACAGAUACAGAACAAUAAUAUCGUCUAAAGUAAUAGUCUACAUAAAUUGACAGGUAACAAAUCAUGGGUUUCAGAACUGUUCACAUUCUUGUGAACUAACAGAUUUAAAAUUUUUUUUAUUUCAUGACAACAGUCAUUACCUGAGGACCGGGGUAGCCUCCAGCAGGCCAACCCAAGGGCCAUUUCACGUUUGUUUGCAGUAAGGUGUACUCUUGCUCUAUGCCAAACCUGGUUAAGGUUGAUUGCAGAAAACGAUUGACAAUCACCAGUUAAAAUAUUCAAGAAACAAACACAAGAACCAAUCAAGAAACAUAUCUUAAAGUUUGAGCCUUUUCUGUUCAGUUUUCCAUUUUUUAUUGGUGUCAACAUCUAGCAUAGACAUAAUUGAAGGGGUACUAAGUAAAAUUCAGCCUAGGAGAAUUUACCAUGGUACUUCUGCUAUAACCUUCGGGUUGCUAAAGAUCUGUGCAGCUCUGUAGCGCUUGUUUGUAGGAAUGGGCUCACCAGCCGGUGUAUAGGUGUCACAUAUGACCUGUUCAAGCCACGUAUGAAACUGUUACAUGAACACAAUUUAAUUAUAACACGAAUCAACAACUACUGAGCUAGUUCUCACUCACCAAAAUGUUGUUUCCUCCACGGAAUGGGUCCUUGAAAAUUGCCUGAGGGCUAAAAGUGUAUUCAGUCAAGCUCUAUUAUGGAAGGCAAAAGUAACUAGUGAGUACAUAAGAAGGUUAGUUGCAAUGGAUUCUUACUAUAAGAUAACUUCACUAUCUUCUCCAGGUGCUUGUCCAGUACUUGAUCCGAGUGUGCAUUUAGAAAAAGUCAUACGCAUUAUUUCAUUUACUUCCAUUGUGUGAUGGAAAGGUAGGGCAUAUCAUUGCUAACCUCUAGAUAAAGUUAAGCAACUGAGCAUGCAUUGAAACUCCUACAGCGGGGUUAUUGUAAUAGUGUUUGUGGUAGCUAGACCCAACUGUAAACAGUUAUGGCAAUAGUUAGUUAACAGUUAUCAUAUUCUUUUAAAUGGAAGGGUGUCAGCAACAGACGGUUGAAAACAAACUUGUUAACAAGGUAUGCCUGGUCAUGAAAAUUUAUGUAGUCAUACCUGAGCCUGAACUUAUGAGGCUAAAGUCAAAUUUCCUGGCUUCCUGUAUGUGCAUCUGUGCUAAUUUUAAGAGAUGAUAAAUCCUGUUGCUAAAUUGGUUUUACACCAAUUCAUUUUGACAGUCAAAAUAUUUCCAUCGGCUCAGAUCAUUGUCCUAUCUUUGUGGAAAAUCUUAUUUCUAGGUCAAACAAUUAUUGAGUGUACUGAACAAGCUGAUGACCUUUGACUAGCAUGCUGUUCAUGAUUUUUCUCCUUCUUCCCCUUUAUAUUUAGCUUAUUUCUGUUGUUUUUAACUAAGAGGUUUCAGGUAUUGUUAAGAUGUGUAUCCUGAAUUAUGAUAUAUUCUUCAUUAGUGGUCUGCAAUCUAUAAAACUAAUGAUGCUAGUUUAUGCUAGCUGUGGUUACAUAUUUAAUUUAUUAGCCUUGAACCAUUCUUUACUUCCCAACUCAUACGUUUGCACUCGCUUCUUUAAGUGUGUUAGAUGUAACUUUUGAAACCUAAUGCAUUCUUGGCUUCCUAUUGGUAAAACAGGGCAAAGAUUUGCUUUACGAGAAGGAGGUAGAACAGUUGGUGCUGGAGUGGUUUCAAAAGUACUUGGCUAAGAUGCCAGUGAUAAUUCUCCAACUUUUACACAAUGCUGGAUAUAAAUUGAAGGUUUUUUCUCCUUGGAUAUAGCAGGAAUUAUUGAUGGCGGCUGACCAUUUAUUAAGAUUUUAUGCAAGUUCUGGUAGGAUUUGGUGUACCAGUAAAUCAACUUUUUGAGUUUUUAGUGGUACCCUAGGAAUUCUAAGCAUGAAUUAAUGAAACAAAUCGCAGAAUGAUGAGCUUGUAAAAAGUAGUAUUUUCUUGUGCCUGGAUAUAUGAAGUGUAUAUACUCUUUUUCUUACAGUCCUAUCUCCAUGUUCUUAUUUCUGGUGAAAGUCAUUUAAGCUUAAGGUCAUAGCUUAUUCUCUUCUUUAGCCAAAUUCUGAUUUUAAACUAGUAACUUGGAAUAUGCAAUAGAGUCUUUGAGUGUUAUAUGUACCUCUGACAGGAGUUAAUGUAAUUGAGAGGAUGGAGAAUUUCAGAGAGAAACAUGACUUGCUUUACUGUUAUAUAACAUUUUGGAUGCAGUUCGGUUAGCUCUAACAAUGGUAGUUCUGUUUAUGAUGCUAUUAAGCAUUCAUGGUAAUUGAACAUGCACAUUCCUGUUUGUACAUGGUGAAGGAAAGGGACAUCAGGUCCAGCUCAUCCACAAUGAUGCAAAGAAUUGACUGUAUCGUGUUUUCUUUAUUUUCAUAAUUAGCAGUGCUUUUCUACUUUGCUACUCUUCCUCCUAGGCACGCAUCAUUUUAAGGUAAAAUGAUCUAUGAAUUGCAUUACAAUUUAAGGGACAGCACGUAAGAUUAAAUUUUUCUUGAAAGAUCUGUGCUUGAAAAGUAGAUCGAGAAAUGGGGAUAAUGAAUUUGCAUAAUUACAUCCUUUAUUAUUUUAGAGGAAAAGAAUAUCUCUAUUUUGUGAAAUUUUUAUGUAUAUAGUAUAUACAAGAAAUUCAACAUACAAUGCUUGUUUUGCAAAAUUCAUCCUCCAGAAGGCAAAUUUCAACCAUCUACCAGCAGCUGCAUUGCAAUUUCAACUAAUGAAUGAAUUGUUGUGCUAUGUCGGCUCAGCCCUACUGUCCCAGAGAAAAUAUUGAAGCUCUCAAUAUCGGAUAUGGUGUCCAUCAUGUGUUCUAGCUGUUCUUCCAUCCCUAAACUCUUGAAAGUUAGGAUGUUUGUUUUCUUAUCUUUCAUCAUCCAGAUUGCCAACUCUAAAACAAACCUCCUCAUCCUUGGAACCCUGAUGGAAGGAUACUGAUAUUGCUUCAGAGUCGCAACAAGUUUCUUAGCCACUUCAGCUUCUUGGAUGCCCGCUCUCUGAAACAUAAUGCUUGAUUCCCAUGAUGCCAUAAACUUGAAAAUACGUGCUGCUAAUCCAAUCAUUACUUCCUGCAACUUGGUUUCUUUUGUCAUGAUUGCUUGAAGGACCUGCAAGGGGAAAAUUGAUAAUUACUCAAUGCUGUUUCCUUUCAUGAAUUAUGACCACAUAGACACAGCACGAAACAAGAAAAGGGAUGAAGAAAAAGCUUUUGCAAUGUAGUUAUUACAACUUACCGUUGGUCCUGCAUCAGUAAGGUGGUGCAGUUGAUCAAAGCUAUCUUCUCCGCUGGAUGCACAUAAAUUUCGUAGAAUUCUGCCGGCAUUAAUUCGAAGUAGUGGAUCUUCUAACGCUUUAACAAGCUUUUCAGUGACAUUUAAUUUCAAUAUGCGCAAGCAAUUACUUGUGCUUUCAAAUGCCAGCAUUGAUAGUGCUGCUCCUGCUGCAAUUUUUACAUCUUUGUGCUUUUCAUCUGUCACCUGCUUGAAGAAGAUGUUGAACAGCUCCUUGAGGACCCCACCCGUGCCCCCAAUUCUCUCUGUUGCGUCCUCUUCCAUUGCCAGAUUUCUUAGGAUAUCUAUUCCUAACUUUUGCAGUGUUGGAUGUUUCUCCCCAUACCUCAAUAUGUCUCUGAUAUUGCUGAUUGUGAAAACUAUCUCUGAAAUUUCUCUCCUGAGCUGUUUGCCCGUGGCACCAGUAGUGCAGGACAGUCUUUUUACUACCUGCAGAGAUCGUUUUACUGUUAAAAUCUGAGAGGGUGUGGUUGUCGCAUCCGUCAGGAGCCUCUCUCCUGCGUGUGUGCAAUCUAUGAUUUUUGGCAGGAGGCCUCUUGUAUUCCCUAUCUUCCCACAAUUGUCAUGGUCGCGAGCAAGCUGCUUCAAAAUUGUGAGCCCCAAAUGGUUGAAUGUCCAGAAGCUAUAAUGUCCAUCAUCGAAGAUGAUGCUCUUUUCUGGUAUUUCAUCAGCUGCAUCACCAAAGCUCCUGCUGAUGUGGAGCAAGGAUGAUAUUGAUUCCAUUGACCCUGGUAUACCAGCUACCCUAAGAGAAUUCUGCUUUUUACCAGCAAGGUGUGCCACAAUUUCUGCAGCUGAUUUUCUGAUCUGUUCUUCUUCAGGGUCUUUCCAGUUCAACAUUUCUACUACCCUUUCUGUUACAGAUAAGUUUAUACCAAUCUUUUGGAGGGUGUCAUCAGAAAACCGCUUGCUUUUUGAAAAUGUUUCCAGAAUUUGAGCCCCCAUAAGCUGUUCAUCAGGGGAGUUCGAGCCCAAGAGAUCCAUCGCAAACGAAACCAUAUCCAUUUUCAGGCCAUCAAAAAUGCUUCCAUAAACACAUUUUGAAUAUGCAUCAUAGAAAAACCUUCUAAUUGCGAGCAUACCUGAUGUCCCCAUCUCACACUGCUUGUUCACCUCAUCCAAUAUUUUGCGAAACGUUACAUUCCACUCCCAAUAGGCUUUCUCCAGGAGAAACAGCAGUGCUUCCGCCAAAGCUAAUGAAUAGAAUAUAAUCAAAGCUGCCUUCCUGUUCCUCUUGUCUGAGUCAUCUUUGGACACAGCGCCAAAGUUUCUCUUGAUAAGCUUCAUCAGGGAGAGCACUACACAGGUCGUAGCGGAGAUGAGUUGGAGCCAAUACAACAAUUUACUGAUAUUUCUUGAUAUGAACACCCAUGAAGUAUACGGAAUGAGAGGAACCUCUGAGCUAUUCCACGUUCGAGUUGGCAUCCUCUUCUGAUGCCAGUUGUUUCGGUUUGCCUGAUGGAUGCUCUGUGUGAUGAUCUCCCUGCUCUGUCCCUUGCCUGGAUUUCCAACAGCAGCAAUAGGCCUAAAAAUUGCCUUGGCAGUUUUGAUGACAAAGUUUGAGCUUGAUCUGAUUGCGCGGAAGCUACUAGUUCCAACAUCAGCAAGGGACCAUGUGGCUUGGUGUUGCCAUUCAAGCUCAUGACUCCUGCUAAAUAUCCUUGUGCCCUCAAUCAGCAGAAUAAUGGUUAUGAACCAAAAAUCUGUUUUGUCUAAAGUGAUGGCAAAACCACCAAGAAGAACAACUGUAGCCCAUAUGAAACCAAGAGUUCCCAAUCCAGUUGCUGCUUUUUCCAGCACAGCAAGCCUCAGAGCAAAAAGGGUCAGCUUCUUUUCUGGUGCACGGAUUGCUUCUACCUGCCUUGCUGGAGUAACUGAACUGCCUGUGCUACUAGUGUUCUUUAUCUCAAUAGAGCUUUGAGGUUGUAAGAUUGCUGUUGGACUUGGACCUGGACCUGAACUGCCUGCUUCAGAUAUCUGCAGAUGGAUGCUUCCUUCACUAUCUAUCGACGAUGCAGGAUUCAUCGUUGACUUCUUCUGAGCAUUAACAAAAGAAUAGCCAGGCAGUUUAGUUUGGUUGUAGUUUGACUUGAAAAUGGCACUGGGAUCGUUAGGAUAGGAUGGAGUUUAAGGUGUAAAGUUCUUGGUUCUUGAUCCUGAUGGCUGUCGAAAAAAAGAGUUUUCCGACUGGAGUUUAUAUAACAACCAAAGGGAAAUGAGCUUGGGCUUCAAGUUUUAAACAGUGGAAAUUUGGAGGAAAAAGAAAGGCAAGUUGCUUUUCUUUCAGCCAAAUCUCUUUUUUGUAGGUAGUUAGUAAGCAGUUUGCUUUUGUUUUUGGAUUAUCUAAUCCUUCAGUCUUGACAUAAGAUUGUCUUUGCCAGGCAGCUCACCCUUACUUAAGACCUUGGUUUUGAUGGGCUGUUUCGAUUUAUGAAGUUUCUUCGCUUGGUUGGAUUGGUUGGUCAUCCUUUAAAGAAUUGUAAAAGUCUCCUUCAUUCUAACUGAAAAAAGGGGCAAUAAAGUUGUUCAUCUUUGAGUUUUAGCAGCAGACCUUUAAUAUCCAUUCCAAUAACUGAACAGAACUUUCAUAAGGUACUCAUUUGCAAAUUGAAUGUGAUUAAGUUGCUUAUUGCACAAGUUGCUCAAAUAGCAAAGGAUUUUGUUACUCAACAGAAAUUAUUCUGAGAGUACAUCUAACUUUACAAAAACCCUUCUCAGAGAUCAUAAUUUCUUGAUCAAUUUCUACCAAAAAAUUCAGCGACAGGGAAAAAAAAACUAUUGCUUAAAGCCUUGUUCGACUUUGACGUGGGUUGUGUGACGUGCAAGUCUGCUGAUCAAGCGUUAAAGCAGGGCAGAAAGGUUAAAUUCAACCAAAUUGCUUGUGCAGCUAGUUUUGCCAUGUCAUGUUUAUUAAUUGGAAGCAUUUUGACCUUUCUCCUAAACAUAUCAUUGUCAGGUACAGAAAAGCGCAUUCCAAUUCAAUUCAAUGCAUUAUCUCUGGUUUAGACUUUAGAGACUUGAAUCCCUGAAUUUUCUAUUAGCGAUUGUGAUUCUUAUCAAUGUCACACGUCCACGCAUACUGCUGAUACAGAAAUUAUCUAUCUAGGUUCAUAAUUGACAAUUUCGUUCAUUACAUUAUAUUCUGACCAGACCGAACCAAACUCUCCACUUGAUCAAGCUGGCGGCCCUAUUCCAUAUAAUCAAAUGGUUGCAUACCUCUUUACUACUAAUCUUGCUAUCCCGUGCUGAUGAUUAUGUCUCGAUUCAACUUCUAAGUUGAAGAAAUUGAAUGGUUCUUGAUCAAUUCUCCGGUUAUGGGCUAUGACUGCAUUCAUGGAAGUUGUCUAGAUUGUGCGAUAUUGGCAAUGUAGAUGGCUGUGGCUUGUAGGGUUGGUUUAUGGCGAGAGUCUCAUGUUGAGUUAAGCAAAAAGGCCAUGCUUCCCUUCCUUGUAAGAUUGUGUAUCUAACAUGACAAAACAAACAAACAUAGAUUAUGUGGUUCCAUGACAGAACACAGACGUGGAAGCAGUCUUCUUCUUAUACAACUAAUGAUACCUUAACCUCAUGAAAGCUGUUUUUUCUGUUUUGUAUAUAUAUAUAUAGAUAUAGAUAUAUAAAGAAACACUCAAAAUGGGAUUGUAGUGACACGUUAGAAAGGAAUAUUUAUGAUCUGUACAUUACCACGGAUUGGGUCCCCUAUAAAAGAUUCUUUAGUGACAUAUACUACUGUCUCUCCCAUUCUUGAAAUUGAUAGAGAGUUUCAGAAGAACGUAAUUGGAUAGUCGACCCCUAAUUAGCUUUGAACAGAAAUGGUGUUUUGUACAGAAACCUUGGGUUCUAUUUUGAGUCUUGACCGGUCCCCAAUCUGUCUAGUAGUGUAAUGCUUUGCCCAGUGGGAUGUAACAUGCAGCUGACAGCUUGUUUGUCUCUAGUCAAGGAGACUUGAUAAAACAUUCAUGGCCAUAGAAAUAGAACAAAGACCCUACAUCACGACAGUAGAUAAAGUGUUAAAAACAUUUACGAACCUAUGAAUGUGACUUCGACUGAAAAAGAUCGAUAAUUAAGCUGCAUUAUUGAACAAACAUAAGAUUGCUUGCAUCCGAAAGUCACGCUAUAUAUGAAGACAUUCUUAAUAGAAAUGAUGAUAUGUUUGAGCCCAAAGCUGAAGUUUUUCCCGAUAAGAUACAUAAAAGAUUGAUUGGCUACAAUAAGCAAGUCUCUGGUUUUUCCCGUAUAAACUCUUUGGUCCAAUGUCUUCCAACACGUUCUUGAUUUACUCUGAAGCAACAGCGAAACAUCUGCACAUCUUCUGCUUUUCACUCGCACGAUUCAAACACUAACGCAAAAUUAUAACACAAAAUUCCACAAGUUCUCAGAACAAGCUAUACCCCUGCUUGUACAAAAUACAAUAGUGUAUUUCUUGUAUAACACCUCCAAUUCAAAACCUAAACCUGAAGAUUUUCUCAAACGACCUCAGGUCUUUCAGCAGUUAUCUCAAAGAUGAGCGUGGCGUAGCAACACCACUACCAUGGUAAAUGCCUCCAAGUCCUCAUGACAAAUAAUAAUGUGAAGUGUAGAGCUGGAUAAAGAUACAUGUAACAAGAAGAAGUAAUGGAUAAUAGAGAAGACGAGACAUUUUCGCCACACCAUCUGUUUCAUUCGAAGGAGAAAGUAUUUCAGUUGCAGGUUUAGCUUCAGCAAUCCACAACAUGUAUCUACGCCAGUUUUCCAUUCAGGAAAUCUCAAGGCGGUCUUUUGCCAGUUUUCUUUUUCUUUCAUUCUACUUCAAGAAACCAGCACUAGUUCUGAGAGGUGAUCUGUGUUUUAUCAAAGGGAGAGCAUAAUUUUCUUUCAAAUGUCAUAAUCAGUAGUUCAGCAUGAAAAAAGAAAAAAAUUUUCACAGCACUUUAUAUUUAUUAUUAUUUUUUUUUGAAAGAUAAACGUCUUUGAAUGUGUUAAGCAAAUAACCAGCAACCAUCCACCUUUCUCAUGUUUCAGCUCUCAUGGUGUGGCACAGGGGAAAAAAUUACUGCAACUAUGUAUCCAUGAAGUCACCAAUCAACAACAGUUAGAAUAUACAUUAAACAGUUGUAUAUACAUUAAACAGUAAUCCGACACCACCACUCAGCAGAUACCAUUUGCCGCCUACAAGAACAUACAACUGUAAGAAAGCAUGGGAAGUAUUGAUCUUCAAAUACAUGGUUGAUGAAUGAUUACUCUCUAAUUCAUAUGACGAGAAAGGGAAAAAGUGAAAGAACAACUUGAUUCACAAACACUUCAAUUCAUCAAUGUUUCAACCUUAAGGUUCAGAAACUUAGCAAUUUUUCCUGGAUCAAAGUCUCAAAAUGUAUGCUAGAAAACAUAAAUGACGACAAAAAAUACUAAAAAUUUUCCCCUUGUCAUAUGAUUCUCCAAUUCUUAUGAUGACAAAGAGAAAAAGUGAAAGAACAACUCAAUUCAUGAAGUUUUAAGGUUCACAAACUUUAAAUUUUUCCCUGGAUCAAAGUCUCAAAACAUAUGCCAAUAUGUAAAUGACCACUCAAAAUACGUAUGAGAAAAAAAUGAGAGAAUCCUGCUCAAAGUAUUAGUUUGAGCAAUAUAAGUUAAUACACAGCUUUGCUCUAGAGGUACAAGUAAAAUAAACAAGUAAGACGGCCUUAGCGAAACAAAACCUUAGCAUUAUUCAUAGUGAUAUAAAUCAGUAAAACAACAUUGAAACAAGUUUGCCACUGCUACGGUUUACUGAAAAUGAGCUACUUGAGUCUUUAAAGAUUGAUUGCAUGACUACUUCUGGAGUGCUAGCUGCUACAAACUCUCCAAUUAAAGAACCAAUUACUCAAAAAGAAUAAUCAGCAAGGACAUAACUGUCAGAAAGAGGAAAAAGAAGGUUAAACAUUAUCAACAUAUCAAUGACAACCAGAUGCUUGCACUGCCUUUAGUUCACUUCCUAUAAUUAUGAAUAGAAAGAAAUUAAACCCUCGAUAACUCAAGAUUAACUAGCUGACUUGGGCAUAUUUCCACUAUUUUCCCAAUUUUCAUUUUGGCUAAGCAGGCUUUCAGGAGGAAUUAUCCAUAUGCAGUUACUUCUGAUCAUUGCUUUUGCAUUCUCUCUCAUAAAAUAUAUGCAAUGCCUCAGCUCAUCUACAAGAUCAAUGCCAAAAACCAACACACUGAAAUUUGUGAAAACGAAUAUUUGUGUAAAACCCAUAUCUUAAAAAUUUUAAAAAAAAAAGAAAAAAAAGAAAGACAGUAAUGACUCCAAAAUAGCAUCAGUUACUUACUCGACCUAAGCAAGCCAGUAUUUCUAUUGAAGAAGACUUUUGCAGAAGGUAUUGAGAUUGGGCUAUGAAUAAAACUGAAUCCUAAGCACUCCACAAACUGAAAAAAAAAUCUAAACUCACGCAGUUUUAUUGAAUGAACACCAAACCACUGAGAGUACCAAGUAUUCAAGCUGAAAGAUGGUGACAAGAAUUCACUAACAGGGGACCUAACAUUGCAUUAACUUGAAAUAAGUAGAAGUGCCUCAACUGUAGCUACAAAAAUUGUUUCACUGUAGAAAAGAGACAAUACCAUAAACAUAACAUUCUAGCUUUGACAACCAAUGAAUCAAAUUUUCAUAAUUUACCUAAUCGAUUGAGAAGACCAUUCCAGCACUAAAUGACUAUAUUCCUUUGAUUCACUUUAGCCUUCUCUGCAUCAAUAAUUGACUCAACCAACUUAACCGUUCCAUCCAAUUCCCCUUCCUUAUUCACCACCACAUAAUCAAAAUUGCUCAAAUGCUUGAUUUCCUCCUUGGCCGUGGCAAUUCUAACAAGCAAGGUCUCCUUAGUCUCAGUCUUCCUAUCAAUCAACCUUUUCACCAAUGCCUCCUCACUCUCAGCAACCAAGAAGAUGAACACAGCAGACUUCCCCAAAAUAUUUCUCAACGUUGCGGCCCCUUGUAUAUCGACUCUCAAUACAAUAUCACUCCCUUUAGCCAUAUGUUCCCUAAUCUGCUGUUUUGGGAUACCCUUAUAAUCACCAUACACCAACGCAUAUUCCAAUAGCUCGUCUUGCGCAAUCAUUUUCAAGAACUCCUCUUUACUCACAAAAAAAUAAUCUUUGCCAUCAAUUUCACCAGGCCUCAUUGCCCGGCUCGUUGCAGUAACAACAAAAUGUAUACUUUCCCUAACUUCCCUCAACCUUUUGAUAACUGCAUCUUUACCAACCCCACUUGGUCCACUGAUCACAAUCACCAAAGGAUUAGGAUUAGGCACCAGCGGCUCAGAGCUGAAUGGGGAUCCUAAUGAGGCCUCCAAAGCCCGAUACAGCUCAGCCCGGUCUGCAGUUUCUGGGCAUGGUAUGGGGACUACCGCAGGUCUUCUAGCAUCACCCAUUGGUGAAUUUGCAGAAAAGAAGCACCGGGCCGGUAAAACUGGCCUGUGGGAGGUGAAUUGUAGAGUUUUUGGGGAGGUGAGGAAUGCUGGGCUCGAGGGGAAUUCAGCAAAAGGGUUGAUGAAUUUUCGACUGAGGAAAAAUGGGUUGUUGUUGAAUUUGGCUAAAGAUGUGCACAGCCUUCUUACCAGCAUCGAUUUGAGUUUGGUUUGAGUUUAUAGAGAAACACUGUGUACUUGUGUGUGAGAAUUGAGGUAUUAGAUGAGGAAAUAUCGGAACAAAGAAUAGGUAUUGUUGGGUACGGGGAACAACUGUAACAGAUUUUUGCCGCCAAUUUGAGAGAAUUUGUUGACAGUCUAGACGUUAAUGGGAUCCUAGAUUUAGGGUUUGUCUCCUCUACACACUUUUUUUUAGUUUUUUUUUUGGGGGGGCGCGGGGGUGGCGGCGCUUGGCCUCUUUUGUCCAUUUUGCUCUUUUUUUCCUCUAUUAAAAUGGAAACUAACAAAUGAAUUCUGCUCGUAAAUUUACUUUUGUGUCGGAUUAUUCUUUUUGGCUGUUCUUUUUGUUCUAAUCAUUUAUGGCUUUUUCAAUUUUUGAAGUUAAAGAAUCUAGUUAAUUUACGGUUAGAUUGUCCACCAAGUGCACGACCUUACAGAUCGAACUGCCAUCACUGAGCAGUAGAUUCUGAUUGUAUGCAGCCUAUCCAUUGAUUCAACAGUAAGUAACACAGAGAUGCAGAAGUAAAAGUUCUUGCUACUCUACUUUUGGCUUGUAUACCAAAUGGGGUUGGCCAAACAGACUUAUUUCUUAGUACAGAAUGGUUCAUUGACACAAAACCAGUAGUCCUGAUGUAACAGAUCAUGUAAGGAGUUUACAACUGAUAUCACUAAGGAAAAAGAACAGAACAAUUAGUGAAAGGAGAUUGCUCUCGUUCGAACAUCCACAUGCCCUCUUCAUCAGAAUAGCAGUUGUAGAAACGAGUAAAUGCCUGCCUCUUUACACCCAAAAUCAGUGCUGUUAAAAGAAAGUAGUCUUUACCACAUAUGGACGAUGUAAGAGUUACACACUCUCAACUUCUCAAGAGCGCUUCUAGUUCUGUCAAAUCACCCUGUCCCAAUUAUACAACAAACCACAAAUCAUAUAGAGCAGUCAUGGUAUAUCAAGAUGGAUCAUCCAUCAAAGCGCUUGCUUAAUCUGGGAAGUAACAGUCUGCCAAAGUUCAUGUGAAGAUCAAUACCACUGACUUCCAGAUCCAACUUGAGCAGCAGCUACUUUCCUCGCCAUAUACUGCUCAGGUUUAGGCUGCAACGGGUUAGGUCCUUCAAUACUUUCUUCUUUAUCACUUUUAUAGGAUGGAUGCCUCUUAGGAUAUGAAGAGGCAGAAACACCAUAUUGAUUUGGAACAGCAGAAUUCCUAGCCAUUCUUCGCUGUUCAAUAGCCUCUGCAGCUGCUGCUGCAGCCCCACAAUUGUUGUAACGCAACACUGAACCAACAACUUUCCCAGGUCUAGCAGCACCUGCUGUGAAAACCACAAAGAUUCAGGCUGGCAUACAAGAAUCUUAAUGUGCUGAUACCUUGAGAAUCGACAUGCAUGAAUGUUAGAAACAUAGACACUGUGUAUAUGUUUAAAAUCCUAAAACAGAGCACCAUAUAGGUAAAUGCGUUCUAAUUAAUCUCUCUGCUCGAAAGAAAAGGCACUUUUGUUCUUCAGGAAAAAGUUUGACCAACACAGAUAACCUUUUUUUUUUUUUGUUGGUGGUAGAUAUCUUGGUUCUUGUAUGUCUUCAUGCAGGACCCAUGGUGAAUUCAAAAAGUGGCUAACAAAUGUAAAACCCUGAAACAAAUGCUAAACACCUCACCUCUUCCCACCUUUAAGCAAAAGUAUGAGCCUAGUUACAAUUCUCCAAGUGAAAUGAAAAAGGGGAAAUGAGUUAAUUGCUUUCGUAAAUGGGGGAACUGCAACAUGUUUGAAGCAUAUCAACAUAGCGCUUCGUCAAAGAAAUUUCACUAAUAAUAUGGGAAAGCAUUUUGAAAGUCUGUUUGUCCUCAUAAGGCAUGGACAAACCUUGAAUGCUUGGAGGCACUUGCAAAGGAAGUCUUGACAUAGGGAUCCCAGAAAUUCUGUCCGUAUUUGACUUCUCAACUUCUUUUAUGCAGAAUUUCGAGAGAUCAUUUGCAACUUCUGCUACAUUCUGUGUUGAGUUAUCCGAGUACAAAACACAGGGCCUGCAACCAAAGCAAGUUUUAGUUCCCCAUAGAAGCAGAAAAAAUAAAUCUGGUAACUCAAAGAAAAGCUUGAAAGCCGAGUAAAAGGAUCACAAGAAAUAUGCCAGAAGCUACCUUGGUAAGGAUGAAGCUUGCUGCCUUUCAGGAGGAGCAGCAGCUCCACCAUUCCCAUAGCGCUCCUCAAGAUAAGCAAAUUGCUUCUUGAAUUUAUCAACAGCACUGGAACAAAAUGAUAGAAAAAUCCAUCAAUCUAAUAAAUAUAGGUAAGAAAAUGUCCCUGGGAUGGUUUAGGACUAUUUCAUAGGAAAAAAAAAUUGUAAACAAGAGAAUAACCCUUUGAGUCUCAAGUUGAGUCACACAGAUAUCCUAUGGGACACUUGCGUUCUCCCAUUAAACAAUGACAUGGACCAUAGAUAAACUUCAAAAGAAUAGAUACAUGAAUGAGUAUGAGACACAAAUUCAAACUUUCGUACUAGGAAAAAGUGAAAUACAUUGGAUCCAUAAAUAGCAAUACAGCAAGCAUGAGAGUCAUAAAUAAUAUUGCUUUUCUCAUCCGACCAACCUUUUUGGGCCACUUAAACCAAAACAUUGAAUGCAAACCAAUGAAAGUACUACUCAAUGUGCCAAAUGCACCAGACUAAACAUCUUCAUGAUCUGAACUAGCAUAAAUUCAUGCCGGAGCAGUCAAACAGCAUACGUGCAGUCAUCUAAUUUUGAAACAGACAAGCAGUACUCACUUAAAAAGACAAAUUUGAAACACAAAUAAAGAAUAACAGGUUCAGAAUGGUGCGAUCAUUAUAAGCAAAUAUUUCCAUUUUUUACAUAUUCCUGCAUAGAAUAAAAUGUAUUUUCAAGCACUGAACUUAAAAUACUUAUGUUGAAACAUGCAUAGCUCUCAGGUUUAUUGAACAAAGAGAAGAACUAAAAGGGAGGUCAGGAAGCAGUAAAAUGAAGUGUGCAAGAAUGUUGCAAGAUGUUUCAAAUAUCCUCUUAAAUGCAAACAAACAGGUAUUCAACAGCAAAACCGUACAAGAGAUUUAGUUUUGAAUAUAGUACCUCGGAUACAUGAAGUUUGUUGGUUCUGUUCCCUCUAAAUACUCUUUCAACAUCUUCGGAUGAUAUUCAAGAAUCUCCCGGUAAAUUAAUUCUCUUACAUCUUCUUUUGUUAUUCUACGUCUUUCAAAUUCAAAUUCCAUUUUUGAGACAGGCUGAGCUGAAGGUUCUCUCUCAACUUUGGCCAAGUUCCUGAAAUAUGGAUCUGCAAGAGCCUGAUGGCUUGCAUGCAAUAUGCACUUUAAGAAGCUGGAGACAUAUUGACUUGCCAAGACUUGAAACAACACACUAACAGAUAAGGUGUACCUCUUCUGCAUUAGGCCGAUCUUUGGGAUCAAAAGCAAGCAUCCUUUCCAACAAACGAAGAGCAAGGGGGUCUGCAUUUGGGAACUUAUGGGAGAAAGGAACUGGUUUUUUCUUUCUCAUGCUACUUAAGUAUCUCCUGGCCUUUUCAUUUCUUAUCUGUGAGCAGAAGGUAAAUAAAAUAUAAAGAUUAAAAAAAUUAACAGUACAAUUUUGCGUAUACAAGAAAAAAAUCACAGCAAACAGACCCUAGCAAUGGCUUCAGAAGAUGGUGUUCCGAGUAGAUCAGUCAUCAGGUCCAAUUGAUGAACUACAUUUUUUCCUGGAAAUAAAGGUUUUCCAGUCAAAAGUUCUGCAAAUAUGCAACCGAUGCUCCAUAUAUCAAUAGCCGGCGUGUACUGGUAAAAGGUUGAUGAUAAACGUUUGUUAGAACAUGUGUAUGGGUACAGAGUUCCAGAGGUACUUAACAUUGACUCAGAUCAAGCAAUAUGAAGUUUAAAAUUCAGAAAUUUGCACCUUGGAGAAGAAGGAUCCACACAAUUCAGGAGCUCUAUACCAUCUCGUUGCAACAUAAUCCUAAAAGCACCAAAAAAAUAUAAAAAUAAAAACAAAAUAAAAAUAAAAAUAAAAAUAGAAAAAAAAAGAUAAAAAAGAUACAAAUUCUAAAUGCCUAAUGCAGUUCUUAUAAAGCACUAGUCCAGUGGGCAAAGAUAUCACCAAAAGGAAUAAGCAAGAACUUACUGUCCAGAAUAUCGCAGUAGGAGUAUCAUUGAAUGCCACUCUGGCUAGACCAAAGUCACAUAUCUUGAGCUUACAGUCAGCAUUAGCUAAGAUGUUCUUAGGUUUCAAAUCACGAUGGAAGACAUUAGCUGCAUCAAAGAACUAUGAUUAUCAGAUCUGGAAAUGGUCCUGUAGCCUUACCAUGUACGUAACUUAGCUAAGUGAAAAGCCUAGCUUCUUUAAUACUGUAAAUUUGUGGUUUUGUCCAAAAACCCAAAGAUAGACAUUAAAGUUGCUUUGCUAAACCAAAUAUUACCUGUGUGUAUAUACUUCAAGCCCCGAAGAAGUUGGUAUAGGAAGAAUUGGUAAUGUUCUGGCGUCAGAUCAUCAUUUGCCUUGAUGACCUGAUGUAGAUCAGAUUCCAUAAGUUCAAAUACCACAUAUAUGUCUUUGAAUUCCCUUCUAGAUGGAGGUAGCAAGAUAUGUUUAAUUUCAACAAUAUCCGGAUGACGAAGAAGCCUAAGAAGCUUUAUCUCACGAAGGAUACGUGUGGCAUCGGAGACAUGCUCAAAGAUGUCAUUUAUCUUUUUUAUUGCAACUUUUUCUCCAAGAUGUGUAUCAUAAGCAGAGCAUACAACACCAUAACUACCCUUACCAAUCACUUCCUCUAUCUUGUAUCUGCUACCCUCACCAUAUUCUGUAAAGAAAUCUACAUCUAUAGAUGCCUGCAUCAUGAAAAUUUAACAUACCGUGUCAUUGACAUCAUAUGAUACAACUGAACAGUAUACGUCGAAAAGAAAAAUUAGCAUCUAUCAAAUUCCAAAUUCAAAUUUAAAAUAAUUGUUAACUAAAAUCCCUAAAACUUGCAGCUUAGAAGUCCUAUACAGAAGAAGCAAAACAUCCACCAUCAUUAUCAAGCCAAAAUUAUAUAGUACUUAAAGAAACAGGUAUUUUACAAGUUAAAAGGUUCAGAUAGUUCGAAAUACUAGUUGACUACCAAAGCACUUUUAGAAGUAUUGAAAACUUAAAAAAAGCAAAGCCCUUUCGAAUCCCCCUAGCCCUCCCUCCGCCACCAUCCACCAUGGGCCUUAAUUAUUUCUCAAAUAGUGUUCCUCGUGAGGAGUCAUUUUACCAGGAUCAUUUGUCAACCAAUGGUGAAAUGUUAGAUAUUUGAUGCCAUAUGCAUCUCAAUUACAAAUUUCCUAGCAUUGGAACACACACUACCCACUUUUUAUAAGGCAUUAAAAAGAAAACAAUUUUAGCAAUUGCACUCCCAAAUCAGGCAAAAAUAUAACUGAGAUUUUAGAAUUUUAUUGAAUUCUUCCACUGCAAGCUUAAGGAACAAAAAAGUGAAAAUAGAAUGCAACUUACCAUAUAAACAAUUUCAAUAGUAAUAAGUCGAGGGUGGCAGGUGCCUGAGGAUGACAAGAACCCUACUAAACUCUCUAAUUGAGGUAUUCAGAGGGAUGGAACCCCAAUUUUUGUAUUGUUUGUGCUACAAAGUAAGGAGGGUAACUAUAAAGUAUAAAUAGCAAGUUGCAUUACACCGUACACUUGGAAUUUCAUUUCUAGUCAGUAAUACACCGAUACACAUGUCAAUUGUUCUGUGAUCUAAGGUGACAAGAGCAAAAAUGUCUAGCAAAUGAAAUGGGCCAAAAAAGUAGAACAACCUACAGCUACUUUCCAAUUUGUUCUAUCAUUCAAAGCCACAAAAAUCUUAUCAACGCAAUCCUAGAGUGAAAAAUACUACAAAAUGACUCCCAAUUUGAAGAAAUCAUAAGCAGGGGCUGCACUCUCAAAACUGUUUCAUCUUCUGUCACAAAACUGUAUAGUAUUGAUAAAGAAAAAAAAGCAUCAAGCAAAUCCUCUAUGUUUAAGAUCUUCUCCACAUUCCACACCAGUAUAAUUAAAUCUCUCAGAUAUGUACAUUGAAUAAAACAGAUUCUUGGAGAUUUUAUUGCUCUGGAUAAAGAAAUAGAUCUUAUAGCAUAAGCAUUUAGUAAAUAUCCGUACAUAUAGAAAAUAUAACCAGAAAUAAACAUAAAAUUUGAUUGCAAAAGAAGGGGCAAUACCUUUUUCCGCUGAUCAGCCUGCAUAUUUCAGCAGCCAAGCAUCAAACAACAACUAAAUAGAAUCACUAAGCAAAGCGUAGAUCAGAUGACAACCACAAAGAUUGACUUCCAAGCAAAGCGUUAAGCAAAAGAUCCCUUCUUUUUUCGGGGUUGGAUCAAAACAAUUGCAGAAGAAAAUAAACAGUCAAUUUAAGAAAAACCAAGAAAUAAUUAGCCAAAAUACACUCAAGUUAAAACUCCAGUGAGACUCUAGAGCUGAAAAAAAACAAUUAGCCAAACAAAAAAGAUGGGAAGAACCCCUUAACAUAAAUCCAAGAAACAGUUAAAUAACUAACUCCUGUGAGGGUAAAUGUGGGAACUUUUACUGGGUUUUCGUCAAAAUAUAAACUCGAGAUUUUGUAGAUGAAAAAAAAAAAAAAAAAAAGAUUCUUGGAAGCAGCGUAUUUGAUGAGAUAGAUGGAGACCAAGAGUAUCUUCAAAGUUUCAACUAAAAAGGGAAAAUUUUGGCGAUGAUCUCUAAUGUUUGUUUAACAAUGGGGAGAACAAGAGCCCAACUUUGUAAAAGUGUAGUCAAGUUAUAGUCUUUUUCGGAGAGAAUUGAUUCAAUAGCGCUUAGAUCUUUUUACUCUUCUAAGAGAGAUCUUUGAAAAAUGGCUGUACUUGUAUUUGUACAAGUUGGGAGAGGGAGAGGGAGAGGGGGAGGGGGAGGGAGAGAGAAACAGCGUGGAAACAUGUGCAAAUAAUUUCAUCCAUGUAAAAAUUUCCGUACUAAUAAGCCAACAAAAAUCCUAUGCUUUGUGGCAGCGAAAGGCUCACUGAAUUUUGGAACCUGGGCAUAUACCGUAGGCAGUGGUGGUACUAUACUUGGGAAAAGACAUGCUAGCCAUUCUAUUGUUUUAGACUUUUAGUUCAAAUAAUUUCCAAGGUAAAGUCAAUUGAUGAAAACCAAUUGAAGUUUGAUGUAGAGCUAAUAACAGAGUGUGCACUUCAUAGGAUUGAUUCUUUGUUCUUUUUCUUUUUGAUUGGUCUUUUCUUUCUUUCUUUCUUUUGACAUCUCAAGUAGGAUUGCUGAAAUCUUUAUUUGUUUUUCAGGAUUUAUGUUUGAUUAUUUUCUUAGAUUUGUUCAAUAUAUCCAUUAAAAAAAGAAAGAAAGAAAGAUGUUUCUUCCUUUCCAUUUUGCUUGUACUUGAAUUGCAGUCACACAAUGCUCUUAGCCUCUCUUAUCAAUACAAACUUGGAUUAAAAAAAUUAAAAAAAAAAAACUCAUCUUUGGACAUGCUCUAUUUUUGGCAAAUUAGGAAUAGUGAAAAAAAAAGAUUUCUAUUCGGAUUGCUCUAUUUUUUGAAAUUUUUUUAGAAAUAUAUAUUAUAACGAUUUGAUGUACGUGAGAUAAAAAAAUAAUUAAAAAAAUAUAUUUAUGAAAAAUAUUAAAAAAAUUUUAUUAAAAAAGACAAUAUGCAAACAUAGUCUUAAGCUUAGAGCGUGUAGGGCCGACCUCGUACGAUAAAUUUAUGCAUUAUCCGCUUGGGAGUUGAAAUUAAAUGCAUUUGGGUCGGUCGAGAAUAGGACUCGUAAAUUCCCAUGAUCCACGAAGUAGAAACUACUCCUGCUUCAUCAAUUCUACCAUCAUUAAUUAUUCUUGGUUUUGUUUUGUGUAGCACUUUCUAUUUCAUGAGUACAUAUAACAAAAGAAUUUGUUUUUUUUUUCCUUUUUGUUCAUCAACUCACAAUUGACAAAUUCGUAAAUUCAAUUUCUACUGAAUAUGCAUGUUAAUGAGACCCUUUUUCUACGGUUUUUAUGAAUAUAGUUUUUAAUUAUUUUUUUUAAUCUCACAUAAAUCAAAUCGUUACAAUAUAUAUUUCUAAGAAAAUUUCAAAAAAAUUGAGCAAUCCAAACCGGACAAUAAUUAAGCAUUCAUCUAAUUUCCAUCUAUUUAACACAUCCAACCUGCGGUUUAGUUGAAAUGCUUUUCCACAUUUGGCACUAAGCAGCGAUUAGAGAGUUGCAUGUGCAUCACAUGGGCUCUCCAAAAGUGGAUUCCGAGAUACAAUUAGAAACAAACACUAUCAUACUUUACUAGUAAUAUAGUAUGUUGCAUGACAAAGCCAACGUCAAGCUCUCCCAUCCCAUGUAGUAUUUAUCUAUGUUGCCACCAAAUUAUUACAAGAGUUCAUAUUCGUUGUUUCUUGGCCAUUAAAUAUUUUCCUUCAAAGUUGAUUUGAAUUGGAAAGAUAUCCUUUAAGCACAGAAAUUAGCCUAAAUGCCCUUAGGAGAAUAAGAUCAACUAGUCAAGUUUGAAGAUCUUAAAGAAAUUUAGCUUUGUUUGGAUUGCAUUUUUCUGAACUUUUUGUAGAAUAAUUACUGCAAAUAUUUGAUACGUGUAAGGUCAAAAGGUGAUUGGAAAAUAUGUCUACGAAAAACGUAGUAAUUUUUUUUAGAAAAUUGCAAUCCAAACACAAAAUUUCUCACAUAAUCCUUAUACUACUAUUUACGCAAUUAAUAUGUUUAAAGAAAUAUGAGACAAAUCAUGCAAAUUAAUCCUGAUUUAAACUCGAACAAUACUGAUGAAGUACUAUCAACAAUAGAUUACGAAAAUUUUUUUUAAGUAGAUUGAUUUUCUUUAUCUUUUUCCCCUCUUUUGGGGAAUGGAUAAGGCUACGUUGAUAUAUAGCUAGGAGAAAUGCAUGUGCGAUCAGUUGAUUUCAUCAUGUCAUUAACAGAGACGACGACAAUCACAUCAAUGGAUCAAUGAUGGGAAAUGCUGCGUUUUCGUUAGGAGUACAAUUUUAAGGACCACAGGAACGGUAAUGACGAGCUAGUGGCCUAGUACUAACUUUGCUUUGACAAAAUUCACGUGUUCACACCAGAACUCUAGAUAUACAAUAGUAACUGCGUGCUUAUAUUAUACUCCCUCCCUUUUUUUAUAACUGAUUUUACACGCCAAUUAAGAAAAAUUUUUUAUUGUUUAAAUCUAUACACUACUUUCCUUUUGUACCCUCAUUAAUUAUCCAAUUCACUCAUGUUUUCUCUCACUAGAGUAUUAAAUGGUGCUGUUUUACUAGGCCAAAAGCAAAGAGAGAAGUAAUAAUUACUAGGAGUAGUAAUUAAGAGCCAUGUAUUGGUAAAGAGAGAUAAAAGGGUAAAAUUGUGAAAAAAUAAUUGAUGCUGCAUGGGGAUAAUACAACGGCAGAUAAAAGUACUUAAGAGCAAAUUUCUUAAACGUCAGAUAUAAAAAAAGGGAGGGAGUAUAGUAUUAGUAUUAUCAUUAGCAGUAAUACGCACUAGUCAGUGAAUAGUAGAGCAUUACUUUGGUGCUUAAGUUAUCAACGGGAUGCAAAAUUAUGGUCUUGCGCACAUACCGAGCCAUUAAUUCCAAUUCAUGGGGUUGUCAUUUUGCUCUUAACCCUAUACCUCGUGCAGGUCUUUAAUGCAAGAUAUGAAGGCGUGAAUUUAUGAACAAAGGACGUGAAAUUUAACCCUUUUGCGGGAAAUGUUAUGAAUGAUGAAGUUGUUGAUUAGCAAGCUUAUUAAAGAAUUCCACAUCCUGCAUUGCACGCUCCCUGCAGGAGACAUACAUACAUAUAUAUAUAUAUAUAUAUAUAUAUAUAUAUUGCAAUUGGUCUUUGAAGGGAAGUAGAAUUGUCGUUUUUUGAUCGGAGAAGUCGCUCUCAAAAUCUACUUUGCAGAAAGAUAAUGAAGCAACAACUGGUGAGAAGUAUGAAAAAUGAUCAAUUUUUAUGGUGCUAUAGUCUAAUCAUCAAUUGUGUCGAGUGGGUGGGAUUCUUAAUCUGUAUUUUUGACGCUCUUUCUUGGCUGUCUCUUUAUUUGUUCAUGUUGGAAAGUGAUAGAGGGCCCUGUUGUUCAUUGAAAAUCAAAUUGAAUUGACUGCCAAUUAAUUGCACUUGAUAUUGAUUCAAAAAAGAAGGACAGUUCCGGCCGUUUGGUUUGCACAUUUUUGUAGAAAGUGCAUUAAAGUGUCCAGAGGAAAAAUUCUUUUUUUUUUGGCCCCUCCCUAAAAUUCUUGAGAAAAAAGAGUUCAAUCCCUUCACAAAAAAUAUGUUCUCUUUCCUUCGUAGUUUCUACAUAUUAUCGCCGUCUUUUUUUCCCCCUUUUUUCCAAAUGCUGCAGCAUAAAUUCGGAAGCCUUAAAGACAAUGCCUCGUACCUAUCGAAACAAACCCUAGAAACUUAUUAUCCACCAAGCCACUCUUCAUAAGUUCUUGAUCAUCGGGGGACAGCUCCCUUGAAUAUCAUCAUGGCUACGUCAAAAAUGUCCUGGAGUGAUGUGGUGUAGUUUUGUGCAUGUCCAGAACCAGAAACAACCAAGCCGCCAUCAACAGUAGCCCUUCCUAACAUCCCAGACGAAAUAAUUACCUCUAAUAUACUUCCCAUCGAGUCCUUAUUAAGAUUCAAGUGUGCGUGUAAGCUUUGGAAUUCUGUAAUAUCUGAUCCAGAAUUUUCCUUCUUGAAUCCUAGAUCCACGGCAGUUUUUAUGUCAUCGUUCGAUAUGCACAGCGAAACCUAUCUCCUAGAUCGUUUCUUGGACAGUACGUGAUGGCUCCAUCCGAUGAGAACGAGGCAAGGAUACCAUAACGAAUUUUUUGAAUUGAUAGCAGGCGCAUGUGAUGGUUUGUUGCUAAUACUUUUAGGCACUGAUUUCCUCUUGUGGAACCCUUCAACAAGGAACUACUGCACAGUUCUAGAGGUAAAGUUUAUGUAUCCAGGUGUUUUUGGAUGCAGCUAUAAUUAUGUACUCUGCGGGUUUGGUUUUGUUAUGACUCGGCUAUGGACGACUACAAAGUUGUUCUUGGGCUUAGAUGUCUAUAUUAUAACCAUUUCGAUAGUCCUGAUGAUGAGUAUGUGAUAGUAGCAGGAUUGAAGGAUAAACUCUGCAGGAAGGAGAUUAGAUUUCCUUAUCUUACAUAUGAGACCAUUAAUGGGGGUGGUUUUAUUCAAUGGUUUUCUGCACUGGAGAGUUGUUGAUAACGUUGAGGGUUGCUGCUAUUUGAGGCUCCAUUUAUCUCAUAAGAUCGUUGCUUUCGAUCCAAAGACUGAUGAAGUUCAGGAGAUUCCAAUGCCUCGGUCAAAGAACAGGCAAGAAAUCAGCAUACUUGGUCUGGGCAUUUUGUAUGACUUGCUGGGAUAAGGAAACUUGUCUAUCAGGGAAUUUUGAAGUGUUUGCAAUGAAAGAAUAUGGCAACGAAGAAUCUUGGAUUCCACUUUUUGGCAUGUGGAAUUUGGAUACGAACCUGAACCCUUGUCCGAGAACUUUGGCUCCGUUAUUGCGAAUGAGAAACGGUGAAGCACUGUUAAUGUCGAUGAAUACAAAUGCUGUUUUCAGGUAUAAUCGUAAUUAAAACCAAAACAACUUUACGCAUUUUGAAGCCAAAGGAGGUGUGAAUAAUCGAUUUUGGCAUGGUUGUGAGGCAACUGUGGCGAGUUUUGCUUCGCCUAAAGGCUACGGGUGGAAUGAAGAUCGAGCAACAUCGAGACCCACUAGAGCAAAGGCGAAUUGAAGGACAUUUAGGCCCUAAAUUGGAAGAUGAAGAUUCAAGGGACUUUGAUUCAGAAGACCAUUUAUUGGAUGAUAAUUUGGCAAUGGAUUUAACGCAAUUUGAGAAUUUCAUGAAUUACCACUUUGAGCAUUCAUUUUUCUUUAAAUAUAAUACAAGAAGCAUGCAUGCCAACUAGAGAUGUAAUCGAGCCUAUACUCGAGCUCGACUCGACUCAUAUAUCCCUAGGGUCGAGCUUGGCUCGAGCUCGAUCGAGUCAAAAAAAUUAAUACUCGAAACUCGACUCGAUGUACUCGCUCUAAGCUCGAAACUCGACUCGAUAAGGCUCGAUAACGAAGGAUAUUUUAUAAAUUCCAUAUAACUUAUAUCCAUAAUGGUCAUUUUAUAAUUAUAAUACAUAUAUAUUAUUUAAAUAACCCCGGUUCGACGAGUAGCUCGACGAGCCUCGAGCCGGGGAUUUUUGACUCGAAACUCGGCUCGAACUCGGUCAACCUGAGUUCGAGCCAAGUGCUCGCGUGCACCCCUAAUGCCAACUACAUAUAUAUCUAGGUGCUUUAAUUUGUAUCCCUUAAUUUGUUUAAUAUACCAAGUCCAAAAGUCACCAAAAGACCUCUGCAUCCAUAUAUACAAUGAAUCCUAUGCAUUCCAUUACUCACCUUUCUGUAUUAAAAAAAAAAAUAGUAAUAAUAAUAAUCAGUUCUCUUGGAUUUCUUUGAACACAUGUAGUAAUCUGUGAUCAAAGAAUGCAGCUCUGGUCAAGCAUAUCAUUUCUUUUUUUACGUGGGUCUACAUUAUCAUGAUGUUACAUCAUUAAGUACACGUUUGAUGGAACAAUUUUGAGUACAGAGAUAAGGAUGUCCUUCUAAUUUAGAUUAUUAUCUGAUGACAAUUUGCUCGGUCAAGAAAUAAGAGCGACAGUUUCUGAGUACGGAUGGGGAUCCCUCUAAUUCCGUAUCGUUGUCUAGCAAUUUGCUUUUUGAAGAAAAAAUAAAAGGAAUCAUAAUCACAAAAUGAAAAAAAAAAAAAAAAUCAAAAACCACGUAUGUAUGCUCGAGCACAGAUCAAAGGCCAACCGAUGGAGUAAUCUUUUCAUAACUUCAAACGAAAUCUCGAACACAGCAAACAUUGAAAAAUCAAAAUACAACAACAGGGAACAACGGACUUCUGAAUCCUUAAAUGGAAUAGGAUGCAACUUUUGAAGAGAGCUACUUGAGAUACUUAACCAACCAACCCAACAAAUCCUGAUGAGCCUCUUCUGCUGCCUUCACCUCUUUUUCAUCUUCAUCCUUGUACCUCACAGACCAUCCAUGAGCAACCCCAGGAAAUAUCUUCACGAAACCAUCAACCUGCAAGAAAAUCCCUGUCAACGUACGUCCUCCUCAUUUGUCAACUUUGAUAAAUCUCAAAACUUUUGAUCAACUCUGAUUUGGACAACUUGAAAUUUAAUUGCAAGAGUAGGAAAGGAUGCUAAACUAAGCAUUUCAGCUCAGUCAGUCUCUAAUGGGCUUAGGCCUUUCAAUGUACAGAUGGAACUAUUCAAACGGUUAGACAAAGAGCAAGUAUGGAAGAACUAUAGGAUGUGACAACUAAACAGAUAGCUUAUAGACAGGCGCCAGAUUUAAAAGGAUAAAAAGUAUCUUAAGUUUCUUACCUCAGGCUUAGCAUCCAAGGCCUGGCCAAAUUUUCUCAGUAGCUCUGGUGGCCCUGUGUGGUCUGUCUCAGCACCCAAUAUUGACAUUGGAACUUUGACCCCUAAAAUAUACCACAAAAAAGUUUCAUUUAUUGCAUUCAUAAAACUGAAGCCAGAAGAGCCACCAAACCUCCCAAAUCUAAAAUCCAGUAUAAUUUACUAGGAGUUCCAAACUAUAACCUGGAGAUAAUCAAGUCAAGCUACAGCAAUCACAGGUAUGCAAAAAGGAGAACUAGUUUAAAGCGACUCAAAAUAAUGGCAUGCAUUACGAAAAUGCCAGAGAAUAUAGAACUAUACAGUUCAAAUUAGGUAAAGAUGAAUAUGUCUUGAAUAAAUGCCCCAGUUUUUGAUAACCAUAUAUAAAUUGAAGAAGAAAAAGGUUAAGAACAGGUCUAUACCCUGAAUAUCUUCUAAAGUGACGAAAGCAGGGUGUAAAAUCACUGCAGCUUGGAUACAGGCAUAUGUUGCUAGUUCCACAACAACUUUUGCUGAAAAUGUAAGAACUGGUGUUAGUAAACUAAAGAAAACCAAAUUACAAUCUUUCCUAGGAACGGAGAAGCAGACUGGACACUUGGAAACAUUAAACUAGCAACUGUUGUCACUUGUCCAGAAAAAGAUCUUACCUCCCCAGCAAAAGCCUACAGCUCCAACUUUAGUGAUGCCUUUGCCUUUUAGAGCUUCAAUGACUGACUUUGCAUGCUCGAAGCCUUGAUCCUUUGCAAAAAAGAAGUUUUCUAGAUAAAUAUUUCCAAUCUAGGACUCAGAAAAAGCUUAGUAGAGUUUUAAUAUUUGAACAGGCACAGUCCUCCCACCCUUACUCAUGGAAGGUGACUUUUAAAGGUGGCACCCAAGAUUUAGAAUGAACUAUAAUAAGUGCCAAACCAGUAAGUAUUAUUCUAGCAGAUUCAGAAGGUAAUCUGAAAGCGCAAGGAAGAUUACUACCAACUUAAUAUCGACCAGAAGGAUAUGGAAAAGAAGAAAAGAGAAGGAAACUAACCAGAGAAGUGGAUCAAAAUCUGAUGGAGUUUGAAUUAUCAAUGUAUGGUGUAGAAUAAACAUUUUUGCAUUCAUUGAGUAGUCUUUUUGAGAAGCGGUAUUACCAGAGAAGCAUUUCAGUCCACUCUGUUCUUUACUGGCACAAGUCUGCCAUUCUAAAUACAUACGAAGAUACUAAACUGAAUCCUAGAUUCAAGACAUAAACCUCAGAUCUUCAUUCAGCUUUGUUGUCCGGGAAUUUAACUCAGUCAAACAUCAUUCGGUCUAUAAUAGCCAACUAAAGAUAGGUAUAAUAAAAUGCCCAAAUCAAGAAAACUAGAUUGAUGUACAUGAAAACUCCUGACGCAAAAGAGGUUUCUUGUUUUUCUUUUAAUUGUCAACUUUGAUGAAUGAAAUGCACAAACAAGAGCUGGGCACUAAUCAUAAAAGUAAAUUUAAACCUCAUGGAAUUCUAAAUUAUCAAUGUAUGACGCAUGCACCACAAGUUGCACUCAUACACUAGUACAUUUGUGUAAAGGUAUUACCUUCAGUUUAACUCCAUUCUUUACGGGCACAAAUCUGCCAUUCAAAAGUCAUACUGAUUGACUUAAGUGAAUGUUGAUGUUCAAGAUAUUAACCUCUGACCUUCAUUCACACUAGUUAUCUAAAUUAUUGAACAUUGCCAAAUGUUCUUCAGUCUAAAAUAGCCAAGAUAAGUGUAAGAACCCCCAAAUCAAAACAACAAAAGUGUAAUGUUGAUAAUAUUUCCUGUGCAGAAGACUUGUGGCAAAUCCAACUCUCAUGAAUGAAAUGUUCCAACCAUAACUGGGCUAUCCCAGAUGAAUGCAAUGUAGAAAAUAUAGCAAAAGGAAAGUCAUGAGCUAUACUUUAGCUUUUAAGAGUGCCAAUGGCAAAAUAGCUUUGACUGGUUCAAUAUUUGAUCCCACAAAUCAGAAUAAAAAGACAAACCCGCCGUUCAGGAAGCACCAGCAUGAAGUCUGAGAUCUAAAAUAAUUAAUUUAUGUAAAAUCUUGGCAUGGUUCAAACUGGAGAGAAAAACAGAACUCCCGAUAUGGUAAAAGGAAAUUAUAGCAUCCAAUGCAGAGAUUAAUCACUGUAGUCACCUCCAGCUAUCGAAUUCAGCAAAAAAACAGUGAUUAGGCUGUUACUAAGAAGAAGGCUUACAGGUCCAUGUUUCUUCAGCCAAGCAUCAAGAUCAGUCCCCUCUAACACUAGUACAGGAUCUCCGAAAAAAAAAUCUGGAACUACAACAAAAAAUCCAGCCCCUGCAACUUUGUCUGCAAGCUUCCUUCACAGUUGAAAAUAUAAUACAAUAGUUUAGAAAUCACAUAUUACUACAUAUUACUUUUUACUGCAUAGGAUUACUCUAUAUACAGGACUGCAGCUCAGUAGCUUUAGUUGAUAAGCGACAGCUUAGUAGCAUGUACAUAAACUACAUUAGAACUGUAUGAUGCCAAAAGAAGUAGAACAACACAAAUGCUGCUGGUAUGUUUAUAUUUAAGCCAGGAACUUCAGAUGCUGUUUAUCCUCUUAUAGACACAGAAAAUGGUGUCCCAGCUUCAUCUUUUUUCUAAAUAAUGGAGGAAACAAGAUGGAAAACAUACAUGAGCGUGACUCUUAAAGUCAGAUUAUGUAUUAGACACAAGCUUGCUUUUCAUUUCAUGUGAAUGGAAGCCCAGCCUAAGGAAAAAAGGCAACAAAGAAAUAAAAACACUCCAACACCCCCCCCCCCCCCAGUUUCCUCCCAGGACAAGAAGAAGAAAACCAACCAAAAACUAGAAGAAUCCUAAAGGGAAGAGGUUCUUAAAUCUCAUACCUCAACUUUGGAGCUUCAUAUCCUGCACAAAAUGAACCAUGAGUUAAAAAUUUGCCUUCCGCUGGAGGUUAUGAUUUCAAGGUCACAAUAGAGAAGCCAAAAUUUUUCAGCUCUGAUGCCAGGGGAACAGGAUGCACAGAUAAUGCACAUAUAAUACAUAUCCAAAAUUCUGGAUCCAAGAUAACUACAUGAGUACCUUUAACAAUAAAGUGCCUAGUAAAAGUAGCUUCCACUACAAACAAAAGGAAGGUAAAAAGACAAGAAAUCAUAUAACUCCGAGGGAGGGUACUUUGUUCUGCAAUUUCUUGACCCUUGCUAAUAAUCAGUAUGUAAAAACAAGAUAUGAUGAUUGACAAAACAGUAAGAUAUUAACAAAAAACUAACACCCGACCACGUUCACACUUUCAGACGCUAACAAAAGAAACCAUAAACGUACAAAUUUGGAUAAGACCAAAUAAUUUAUCCAACAAACUACGGACUAAAUAGAACGAAAGAUUGCAACUCUCAAAAUCCCAGAUAAGUUUUGGAGGGAAAAGCAUACCAAAAACAUCAGAGACAAGCAAAACAGCAAUCUCGGAAUCAGCAGACCCAGUAACGUAAGAUUGGAGGCCUCCAAGUUCUUCCACAUGCCCAGCUCCAGAACCGGAGCUCAAGCUUGGUGCAUUUUCACAGCACUGUGGACCUGACAUCCCUUGUUCUCAGAAGAUUUCCAAAUAGUACAGUAAUGCUUAAUUGGAGCAAGAACGUACUAGAGGAGUAUCAAAAUGUCUAUUUAUCAUACUUAGUAGUUGCUGGCAAACGUGGAAUAUGCCGACAAAGAAAUUGAAUUCUGUACGCAAGUUCUCUCACUCAAAGUCGAGCAUGAUAUGGACCACUUAGAUGAUAUCUUGAGGAAUUAAUUACAGAGUUUUGUGUGGUUGGAUUGAAGAUAAGUUGAACAAAGAAUUAUUUAAUAAUUUUUUUUUGUGAGGUAAUAUAUGUGAAAUAGAAGAAUGAUUAGAACAAUAAAAAAUGUGGUGGGAAAAUGAAUUUGCAAAAUCUCCAAACCUUUUUCCAAACUGUUCUUGUCCAAAAAUAGUUCUUGAAAAUUUUAUAGAUAAUUAGCUCAAGAUUUAGUUCUGUUAAUAGCUACAUUAACCAUUUCAAUUCUAUAUUUGAUCAAAGGAUAGAAAUUUAUUUGAUGUUUUGAGAUGGCAACCCCGUGGAACGAGCUCCCUUUAUCGGACAAUGACAAAACUUGCAAGACAAUAAUGACACCGAGGAAGAGAGAUUGCAGUCCUUAUUAUAUCGCCAUCGCCACAAAAGUCAAGACCAAUUAAUAAUCAACAAGGAAACGGGCUAUUUUUGUCGGGAAAAAAAAAAAAAAAAUCUCCGUGUCUUGUUUCUAUUGCCUAGUCCUGCAGUGAUACCUUUCCGCAACCCUUUCAUCGGUAUGAGGUGUUCCAAUGCUGAGAUCAUUCAGGAUAGGAUAAACUAACCCAACAUCCAGAAUGAUUGGCAACUACCAUUCCUGAAUGAUUGACAAGAAGGUAAGGUCCUGCAUGCAGGUAUCUAGCACAGUUGCCAAGGAAUGGAUUUUUUUUUUUCCGCAUGUCUUUUCUCUUGUUCAGUUGUUGAAUAAAUAUGACAUUCAGCCCAUUGUGUGCUUUGACAAGAAAGCAAAUACCAGCUAAAAUCAACAUACAAAUAUAUUUGUCGGAUCCAACUAAUCAUUAAUAAGCACGGUUGCUAUGGUCAGGCUUGACGGGAAAGAAGGGUCCGUUAUAAUCAACUAUUAUAGAGUGUGUUUGGAUAAUAAAUUAUUUGAGAUAAUUUUGUAAAAAAAUAUUGUUAUACUUUCUUUACGUGAUGUACGUGAGAUGAAAAUAUAAUUAAAAAAUGUGUUGAUGAUGCAAGUAAAUCAGUGUGUGUAAAUAAGACAGAAAUAAAUGUGUAAUCCAAACACACUCCAGUAAUAUGUUUCUGAGUCGCAACUUUUUGAGACAGAACUUUCUCCGGCAACAGCUACCCUGGUUGACACUCCAGACUCCAGUAAAGAAGGCGUCAGCCGGGAAAAAAAAAUUACCUGCUCUUGCAAUGAUGACCUUGCAGCAGACUUUGUUUUAUUACUCGGAUGAAUCUUAGACAAUUGAUAUAUGAAUUGUACUCAUCAAACAGUUUAAGAUUGGUGUGUUCAGCUGUCUCAAACCACUUUGUCAUAUGCCAACGAAACAUUGAAAAAAUAUAGCAAUGUUUGUGUCCAACAAAUAAAUAAUUCUCCAUGUACCAUCAAAAUUACACAAGAAAGGGUCACUCGAGAUUGUUUUCUUGAAAAUUGCAUCAGCCAUUACGUGAGAGGGAUCAAUGUGUUUAAUUGGUGCGUCUGGAUUAGCUUUUUUUUUUUUUUUUUGGCAAAUAAAAUUUAUUUAUCUGUAUCGCAAAUGGCUUUUGUGUCUGCUUGAUUAGCGUGUUUAAUUGGUGCAUUUGGAUUAGCUUUCUUGGCGAAUAAAAAUUAUUUAUUUGCAUCACAAACACGUUUUUCAAUUACCUUUUCAUCUUUCCAACGAUCCUUUUAUGUUAUAUACAUUGUAUCAUGAAAAAUUGUUAUAGUAAUCGUUCCAAAUAAUCUCCGAUCCAAAUCCAAAUUUUACGCUACUUGAUAGCGGGACAGAGAUGAUUCCUUUGACAUAAAGUUCAGUUCAUGUGGGAGAAAUUCAGAAUAAUCUGAAUUGUUUGGAUUGGGUGCGAAAACUGGGAAAGAAUAGCUGAUUUCUUGCUGCUCAAAACUUAAUAGCCAAUUCAUGUUUCAACAUGCUUGCCAAUGCAGAUGAAAGUCGCGUGAUUUCAGUGCAUCUGUAAGAACAGGAGCUGUUGUCCCAAUGCUACAUUUGAGUUAAUUUGUUAGGAAGUUUUCAUUCUCAAAAGUAAGGCCACAAUAGCUCAAGUUGCACAUUCCACUCAGGUGAAAACUCCCUCAAUUGUAUCCGAGAAGAUCAAGGAAUUAAUUUCUUAGUCACCACUUUCCGCCCAUCUAGAAAAGGUCAGUGUAUGAUCUUUGUAGUGUUCAAAGACUCUCAUUUCACAAGGAAAAAUAGUGCCAGCAACCCUUAAUUCGUAAAAGGCUAAAGCAAAAUACAGAUUCUGCCCAGGGAAAAGCAAUAAGUAUACAGAAGAGUCAUCCAAACAAGUAAAAGGAUUUUAUCAAGAUUCUUUGUUGUGAGUGGAUCGCAGAUGACUAGAAAGGUCACACAUAAAUUUAUGGAAAAUUAGAGUAUUACCAAUUUCUGCAUAUAUAAUUCUAGGAUCCACAUACAAGACAUGUGGAAUCAUCCAUGCGAGUUGCAGUACAUGUAGUAACAUAAAGCACAGUUCUGACUUGUUAUUCAAAUAAGGCACAAGAAGAUACACCAAUUCUGAAUUUUUAUUCAAACAAGCCAUGGUGAAAUGCACCAUUACCUUGAGCAUUCCAGCCUUCAGAGGCAUGAUAAUUCGUACUUUGAUUCGACUGGAAAUCAUUAUUCCUUUUUUUGUCUGUUCACUCUAAUUGACAUGCUUGGUAAGCCAGUUCAACAUGUCUGAGUGAGCUUCUUUUGCCAUCUUAACAGCGAAUUCAUCGUCGUCGCUGUACU
rnacentral:lncRNA from 1 species